rnacentral:lncRNA from 1 species
GGAAUAAUAUCUAUCGAUUCUAGACGUGUGGUAUACCGUAAUCCUAUUUGAUUUCAUUUUCGCUCGGAAUGGAAACCCACUAAUUCGAGUAAAAACCAAUUAGUCCUCAAACCUCGGAUUAAAGCUCGAUUCCCAGAUCAUAUGAUUAGAAAAAAUAAAAACACUUCCAUGGAGGAAAAAAACAUAGCUCGUCUUUGCCUCCACUCUCAAGCAAUAGUAUGUAAUGACCAAUUCCGAUUUUGAUUAUAGUCUAUUCUUGAAUUCAAUUCUGACUUCGAACCAAACGUUCCCUUAAAAAGUCCAGAUAAGUCUAAUGCAUGGGUAAGGUAUCAAAACGAGAUCAUGCCGGUCUUCGUAUGUUUUGACUAAUGCUCUACAAUCCAUACAAAUUCAUUAAUUGACAGUUCCUCCUGCAUACCUGUUUGCUCCUCUUUUCUUCUCUUCUCCUUUCAUCUCUUCUCCCUCCUCCCUUUCAUACCAAAUUUUUACGCCUCGAGAAGAUACAUAUCGAAAAAGUAACAAAUCUUUCCAAAUCAAUCUUGGAGCAGAUAAUAAAUUUUUUCAAAUCAAUCUUGAAAAUGUACCAAAUCUAUUCCAUACAAAUCCAUUAAUUGACAAUUCCUCCUGCAUACGUGUCCGCUCCUCCUUUCUUCUUUCUCCUUUCUCCUUUCAUCUCUUCUCUCUCCUCCCUUUCAUACUAAAUCUUUACGCUUCGGGAAGGUACACUUCAGAAAAAUAACAAAUCUUCUCAAAUCAAUCUUGGGGAAGGUAAUAAAUUUUUUCAAAUCAAUCUUGAAAAUGUACCAAAUCUUACAUCUCGGGAAGCUACCAAAUCUUUCCAAAUCCAUCUCGGAAAGGUACCAAAUCUAUCCAAAUAUUUCCUUACUUUGGAAAAUGACAAAAUCCUCACCUUGAUUCCGGUGUGUAUAUAGGAGAACGUGUACUUAUCAAAUUCGAACUUUGAAAAAUUUUUCUAAUUGUUUCUUCUUCCUCUCUCCCUCAUGCAUUGAACUGUACAUGUCUUUACACUGGGUUUUAAAUCUCUUUUGUAUUUUUUGUUGGAUCUUUGAGAGCUACUUGAAUUCGUGUUGCUGUCACCAUAGUUAGUUAAUUCGGAUUCGGCAUAAAUUUGGUACAGAUAUGAUAUGUAUAAAAUUCGUUUUCUAAUUUUUAAAUUCGUUGAAAAAUUCGGCUUAAAAAACGGAUUUGCUAUAAAAUAUAAAAUAUAAGAUAUAAAAUAUAAAAUAAUUUAUAUUUAAAAAUAAAAUUAUAAGUUUUUUAUUCAUAUUUUCAAUAAUUCGACAAUAAUUCGCAAAUAAUUCGCGAAUUAUUCGUGAAUAAUUCGGCUGGCCCAAAAAUUCGUGAAUAAUUCUGUUUCUUUCGGAAAAAUUCGUAAACGGACCGUUUAAUUCAGAUUUUCAAUAAUUCGCGAAUAAUUCGUGAAUUUACUAACUAGGGGUGUCACAGGCCUCAUCUAAAAUUUUUUUCUCUAUAAUAUUUUCUACUUAAUCCGUUCUUAUAAUUUUUCGAAAACAAAAAUUAAAAUUAUUUUAUUUUAGAAUUGUUUAAAAAAUAAAUUGUUCAAGCUAAAUAUAUAUUUGCAUAUUACAUAAUUAUAUAGUUUGUUAUCAAUCCAAAUUACUUAUAUAUGUAUUAAAAUAAUUAGUAAUCAUUCAAGCUAAAUAUAUAUUUUGCAUAAUUCAUAAUUACAUAUUUUGUUAUUAUUCCAUCUUAUUUUUGCAUAGCAAUUCAUUCUUGGCUACUAUUCUUUUGCUUUCUCUUACAUAUAUAUGUAUUGAUAUUUAAUUUUAUUCUUUNGCUAAAUAUAUAUUUUGCAUAAUUCAUAAUUACAUAUUUUGUUAUUAUUCCAUCUUAUUUUUGCAUAGCAAUUCAUUCUUGGCUACUAUUCUUUUGCUUUCUCUUACAUAUAUAUGUAUUGAUAUUUAAUUUUAUUCUUUUUCUCAUUUUUUGUAAUUAUUAUAUAUUAAAAUUCACAUUAAAAUAUUGGUGUUAAAAUUAUCCGUGGCGAAGUUCCGGUUCAACACUAGUUGGACUUAAACGAAGGAUCGAUUAAGCAUUGACUUUUAGUACAAAAUCACAAAAUUAAUUCCCGUACGUCUAGAGCUGCUUUGACAAAAUUAAUUUGUCCCUAUCAAAAGUUUGAUCAUGUGCAAGUUUAAAUCACGUCUGUAAUCGCAUUUCUCUCGUCAUUUACAUGCAUGCAUGACGACUUAAUUAAUCAGGUUUCAGAAAAUCUGGGCGGACCAGCCAUCAGACUUUUUUUUUUUUUUUGAGAAAUAGGUAGCAAGCUACCUGCUUCAUUCAUUAAGGAAAAUGAACUAGGCGUACAGGAUGAAGGCAGCUGAGAUCUCCUUAAAAGCCGAAGGCAACCAAAAAGUCACUAAAAAAGUACAGUGUACAGAACAAACCAAGGAAGUAACUAACUAAAAGAAGUAAAGAAAUCAAAGACGAAUGCUGAAGACAGAAUUUGAUCAAAGGACCUCCAUCGGACUUGGUUAAUCGAAAACUGGUGUGAUGGCCGAUUUAGUGUAGGGCUUUUUCUUUUUUCUUUUUUCUUUUUUUUUUUACUUCUAUUGCUGCGAUUUAUUGCUAAACCGUAAGUUGUUCGGUAAUUAUUUAUAUUUUAUAUGUUUUGUAAUAAUUGUUCUUUAAAAAUUUAUUUUUAAUUUUUUACAAGAUCUUGACCAUGGUAAUAUUUUGAAAUGAUUCAUUCAACAUACGAGAAAAGUUACCUUAUUUCAAAAAAAAUAAAUAAAUAAAAACUCACUGUCUAUACAUAAUAAUUUUCUUUUAGCGCCACAAGCAUUUAAUCAUGCUUUUCUAUAUUCUUAUAUUAAGAAACAAAAUAUUUGCAAAUGUUAGUGUGUUAUGCUUAAAAAAUAGUAACUAAGGGUGUGUUUCGUUCGUCCCAUUUUUAUUCUGAAAUUGGAAUUGGAAUGGACGAAUCUGUUUGUCUGUGUUUAGUAUGUGGGAUUUUCAUUCCGGUUUCGAUAUUUCCGGGUGAAUGGGAAUUCUUCUAAUUACCACCUUUUCCAAUCCAGCAUAGGAGGCUGGAUUAAAAAUUGAAUUCGGGUGGAAUUGAUUUGUUUAAAUUAAAUUUAACUUUUAAAAAUUUAUUUUUUUAAUUAAAAUAUAAGUUUAAGUUUAAAAAUUAUAUUUAUAAAUUUUAAUUUUAAUUUGAACUUAAAUUAAGAAUUAAAAUUCAAUCAAGCAUUUCAAAACUAAUUUAUAAAUUUGAAUUCAAAUUUAAAUUUAAUUUAAAAUCUAAAAUUUUAUUCAAAUUUUAUUUAAAAUUUAAAUUAAAUUUAUGGAUUCAAAUUAAAAUUUAAAUUAUAAUUUUAAGUUUGAAUUUGAAUAAAUCAAAAUUUUAGUUUUAUAUUUUAAAUUAUUUGUUCAAUUUCAAAUUUAAUUUUUUUAAAAAAUAUAUUUAAAAUUUUGACAUAAAUUGGUUGUCGCGUGCUACACUAGGGAAUUAACUCCCAGUGGCUUAACGGUGUUAUAUAAAGGUAUGUAGAAUGUACGGUCCCCCUCGACUAUACUAAAGUUUAAAAUUACUCUAUCAACUUUUAUUCUUUCAAUUUGUAUUUUCUAUGCUAUCAAUUUACUUCUCUUUUUUAUCAGAAAGGUUAGAAUUUUUUUUAUUUUCUAAACUGUUAAUGACUAUAUAUAUAUAUAUAUAUAUAUAUAUAUAUGAGAGCGACGAGACGCAGAGAACUGAGAAGUGAUCUAGUACGUAUGGCAGCAACAACAACAACAAUAAUGAAAAACGGAUGAGCAGCCUCAUGUAACAAUCACGGCGAGGAACAGAUGCAAAUGAAGGUUGUACGUGUUCAUUAUUCUUUUGGUCCAUAACUCCAACUGGGGUCUUGGAAAAUGUCUCAACCACCUCCCUGUAUAUCAUACCUGGACUUCACAUAUUUAUCACUUGCCAAAGAAGUACAACAAAAAUUUUCAAUUUUUUUGUUCACAAAGGAGGCGUCUAAUUAAGAAAUAAUGCAUAGUGCAGUGAGUGCCAAUUAAAAGAAUACAGUUGAGUGGACAAUUUCAAACUCAAACAUAGCAACAGGAGUCUCCAUACAUUAUUAUCUAUAUAUAUGAAUGAGAAAGCACCAUACCCUAACCAUUAAACACUCUCUGAACAUUUUGCUUCUCGAUCGCGCCGGAGCACUAUGGCGGCAACAAUUGGUGGACCCGUCUCUUGCCUCAGCAGGUAAUUUUCACAACCUCUUUAUGUUCUGUUUUCAUAUCUGUGUAUGUUUUAAUCCAAUAUGAUCUUUCGUCACAGGGCAGAAUGUUAGCCCAUUUAAGCCAACACCGAAGNUAAAAUUUUAUUCAAAUUUUAUUUAAAAUUUAAAUUAAAUUUAUGGAUUCAAAUUAAAAUUUAAAUUAUAAUUUUAAGUUUGAAUUUGAAUAAAUCAAAAUUUAGUUUUAUAUUUUAAAUUAUUUGUUCAAUUUCAAAUUUAAUUUUUUUAGAAAAUAUAUUUAAAAUUUUGACAUAAAUUUUUAGUAUUUAAUUUUUAGUUUGAAUUUAAACUGAUAUAUUAUAAAGAUAAAAUUAACAUAUUAAUUUGAUUAUGUUUUUAAUAUCUAUCUGAAUCCAACACCGACAAUAAGAAUGGUUCAUUCCGAUUUUGAUUCAGGUGACGAAUCAAACAGAAUGAGAUAAUAAAUCAUUCCGAUUCUGUUUUCAACUUAUUUUCAAUCUGAUUUCAAUACCGAUUCCGACUUCGAACCAAAAACAUCCUUAUAGUUGGUUGUCGCGUGCUACACUAGGGAAUUAACUCCCAGUGGCUUAACGGUGUUAUAUAAAGGUAUGUAGAAUGUACGGUCCCCCUCGACUAUACUAAAGUUUAAAAUUACACUAUGAACUUUUAUUCUUUCAAUUUGUAUUUUCUAUGCUAUCAAUUUGCUUCUCUUUUUUAUCAGAAAGGUUAGAAUUUUUUUUAUUUUCUAAACUGUUAAUGACUAUAUAUAUGAGAGCGACGAGACGCAGAGAACUGAGAAGUGAUCUAGUACGUAUGGCAACAACAACAACAACAAUAAUGAAAAACGGAUGAGCAGCCUCAUGUAACAAUCACGGCGAGGAACAGAUGCAAAUGAAGGUUGUACGUGUUCAUUAUUCUUUUGGUCCAUAACUCCAACUGGGGUCUUGGAAAAUGCCUCAACCACCUCCCUGUAUAUCAUACCUGGACUUCACAUAGUUAUCACUUGCCAAAGAAGUACAACAAAAAUUUUCAAUUUUUUUGUUGACAAAGGAGGCGUCUAAUUAAGAAAUAAUGCAUAGUGCAGUGAGUGCCAAUUAAAAGAAUACAAUUGAGUGGACAAUUUCAAACUCAAACAUAGCAACAGGAGUCUCCAUACAUUAUUAUCUAUAUAUAUGAAUGAGAAAGCACCAUACCCAACCAUUAAACACUCUCUGAACAAUUUGCUUCUCGAUCGCGCCGGAGCACUAUGGCGGCAACAAUCAGUGGACCCGUCUCUUGCCUCAGCAGGUAAUUUUCACAACAUCUUUAUGUUCUGUUUUCAUAUCUGUGUAUGUUUUAAUCCAAUAUGGUCUUCCGUUACAGGACAGAAUGUUAGCCCAUUUAAGCCAACACCGAUGAUUGUAACACCUCAAACAAUACCAUCUCCGAUGGGGAGAGAGAUUGUGAUUGAAAACAUAAGAAACUUUAGUAAUAAUAACUAAAUUUAAGCAUUUUAGGAUCAUGAUUUGAAUUCAAUAAAUUGUUAUUGCUUAGGUCGUUAUGAAUGUAUGAUUUUUUGGUAUCCGACAAUAUUUAACCAUUUUGUAUUUUAUUUUAUUUUAUUCAGGAUUGCUGUGGUUACUGGAGGGGCGAGAGGGUUAGGACUAGGGAUAUGCAAACAAUUGGCUUCUAAUGGUGUCAAAGUCGUAUUAACCGAUAAAGAUGAAGAGAAGGGGUUGGAUGCCGUGGAGAAGCUCAAACAAUUUCCGCAUUUUGACAUCACCUUUCACCACUUAAAUGUGACGGACUCUACAAACAUUUCUUCUCUAUCAGAGUUCAUUAAGACUAAGUUCAAGAAGCUUGAUAUCUUGGUAAAUGAUCCUCCUUUUGAAACCGAAAUUUAAACAUACAAUUUAAAACUCCUAUACAAUUAGUACUAUAAAUUGUUGACAGUUCAAAUGAAUGCGAAAGCAUUUGAAAUGAUGAUUUAUAGUGGAUGUGACGAUCUAGAGCGUUUGAUCUUUAUUUGAAGAGCAAAUGGUUGUAAAGUCGACAAAAAAUUUCAAAAUUUGGUGGUAAAAUUGGGUUUUAAUCAUCAUUAAUUGUCCAUUGUUAACAAGCCUAGUUAAACCACAUAAAUCAAUUUCUUUACGUUUUAUUCUCACCUUUCUUCUUUCCAAGUUUAUUGUCCUGCUGGUUGGAUGCGUAAUCAGCAGAUUUUUCAUGUACAACAUCCUAGAAGAUAGGCAUAUUCCAGGGCCGGGGAUGGAGGUCAGGAGUGUUUUGGAGCUUCUGGCUGGGGACCGCCGCCAAGGGGCAGCUGCAACAGAUCUAAUUAAGGUCGUAACCUGUUAGUGGAUGAUCUGGGAAAGAAAUAAUAUUAUUUUUAGAAGCAAAUCAUUUGACCAUUUUUUGACUAUUAGACGGAUACGGGACAUGAGUAGAGAAUGGACUAAGUUUUGUAGCUCUUAGUGCCUUGAUUUUGAGUGAGGAGUACAAGUAUCAAUUUUCUGUAGUUUUUUAUUUUAGUUUCUAUUUGUCUUUUUUAUUUUGGUCGCCUUCUAUGUUUUCCGAGGCCACGUUGCCUCAAGCCCUGUAGCUAAAUUCAUCUGCUAAAUGAAUGAAGGGGGUAGCGUGCUACCUUGAUCUCAAAAAAAAAUUAUAAUAUGAUAUUCUAACGAAAAAGAUUGGAGAGGAAGCUCAAAAGAAAUUCGAAUUGUUUUGUUUGUAAUUUUAAUGGCAUACAUUGAUUUUCUUCAGGUGAACAAUGCUGGAGUAGCAGGAGGCAUAAUAGACCAUGAGAAACUAAAAGUCUUUGAUGGUAAAAUUGAAAAGGUAAAUCUUGAGUGUAAGAUUUGUUUAGUAUCCAUUCAACUCUUUAUACUCUGUCUUCUUAUUAAAUAAUGAUAAUGAUAAUGCUCUCCAAAAGAACUCUGUUGAAAUCUAAGUUGCGUCAGAUCAUUGGUGUUGGCGAUUAAUUCUAAAAGCUCGAGCUACUAGAAAUAUGUAACAAAUUCACUUAAAACAUACAGAUACAGCGCCCACGGGUUCCGAUUUGUGACUCGGCACAAUUUAGCCUCCUAACACUUAGAACAUGGUUAUGUCCAACCUGAUUUCCCAUUAUUUCGAAUAUGACUCGAUCUAAUUUGACCUUCUACCACAAAGCAAGAUGCUGACCUUCAAGCUAACAAAUUGGUUUUCAAAAUAUUUUGAAACAAAAAGCUAAAGCAAGAAACGGUCCACUAAGCUUUUUUUUGGGGGUUCAUUGCACUUCUAGACUUUUAUUUGACUUUGGCAUCCGACUCUUAUCCUUUUAGUGGAGAAGGUCCGUGGACGCUAUUGUGACAUUCUCAGAAUUUGAAAUAGUUUUAUAUAAAAAAAAUAUAUAAUUGGGCUUGAUCUCCGAAUCCAACUAUAGUAUUUUGGACAGUAGUUAGGUCAAAAAAAUUAAGAGGAUUAAAAGUUUUAGAACUAGAGUAAUUUUAGAAUUGUGACCCCAUUGGAAAGCGACGCAUCAUAUUAGGUAUCGGAGCCAAUUAACAGUCGAAAGUGUGGCAUGAGUCUCAACUGAAUCAGGGUUUAAGAAAUGAAAAGCUAAAUCAGGUUCUGAAUGACAAGACUAGCGAUGUGAGUCUUAUAUCAGGCUUGUGAGUGUGAUUGAGCCUAACAAGAACGUCAGACUCAAAGGGAAAAGGAAUGUGACACCUUUGAAUUCGGAAUAGUCAUAUAUAUAAGAUAUGAUAUGGCUAAACAUCUUAACUCGACUAUAUAACAAUUUGAACAGUGGUUAAGAACACAAGAUUAAGAAAGUUAAGCAUGAUAGGACCGGAAUAGUUUUUAGAUGUAUGACCCUCUUGGAAAGUGAGGUGUCAUAACUAUAUUUAUGUCUAUUCAUAGUAAUUUGAAUUAAUUUUAGAUUUCUUGAGAACAUGCAAAUUCUUGUUUUCCACUGUUGAUUUAGAUUUUUUUAAUAUAUAAUUUUCGUGAACCAGUCUGGUAUAUUAUCCAAUAUCUUGACUACUGGAGAGACCUACGAAAGGGCAGAAGAAUGUGUGAGCACAAUCUAUUAUGGAACUAAAACGAUGACAGAGACAUUCAUUCCUCUUCUAUUAUCAUCUCAUUCACCAAGGAUAGUAAAUAUUUCCUCCGUGGGAAGUUAGAGGUACAAGUCAAAUAAACAUAAACUAAUCCAGUAUAUUACAACUAUAUAUUUCUAACUCUUUUCCAACUUAUUUCAGUGCAUUCCUAACAAGAGCAUCCAGAAAGAAAUAGGCGACAUAGAUAACUUGACCGAGGAGAAAAUCGACGGCAUGGUGCGAUCCUUUCUGAGCGAUUUUAAGGAAGGGGAUCUGAGGAAAAAUGAUUGGCCUACUAGUUUGUUGGCGUACAUCGUGUCAAAAGUGGCGGUGAGUGCGUAUACAAGGCUCAUCGCAAAGAGGUAUCCCGCAAUUUGUACAAACUGUAUACAUCCAGGAUUUGUGAGAACGGAGAUGACUGGAAAUUUAGGCGCGUUGUCUGCUGAAGAAGCCGCGAGGGGGCCUGUGAUGUUGGCUCUGCUUCCUGAUGGUAGCCCUUCUGGGCUUUUCUAUGACCAAACCGAAGUAUCAUCGUUUACGUGAUAAUUUUAGUACGCGCAUUUGAGAGAGAAAAAGAAUAAAUAUAUUGUACUUUAUGUAUUUCUCUCUUUUCUGUCUAAUAAAAUUAUUUGGUACUUAAAAGAAAGAUCCUCUUACUAUCCUCUUACUACUGCGUAUAAAUAGUCGGAUAAAUGCAUCAUAUGAAAAAGAUAAUUGUUUAAAAUGUUUUCAAUGGCUGAGUAAAUAAAGACCAAUAGAAUUAUUAUUGGCUUAAAUGGGCCAGCAUUCUGCCCUGUGGCGGGAGACCAUGUUGGGCCGAGUCAUAUUCGAAAUGGCGUAAGGCUGGUUGGGCCGAGUCACAAUCGAAACCCGUGGGCGUUGUACCUGUACGCUUUAAGUAAAUUGGUUACGUAUUUCUAAUAGCUCGAGCUUUUGGGAUUAAUGGUUAGCGUUAACAAUCCGACAAUUAUAUAUUAUAAAUAUGAAUUCAAGAAUGAGGACAAUUUAGCUUGAAUGAGAAAAUGGAGAUUGAUAUUUUAAUCUGCGUCAUCUUAAUAAUUAAUUAUCUGAUUCUUAAGGAAGAUUACUAUGAUUUCAGCUGAUAGGCAAAAAUAAAAAAAUUGAUGACUAAGGGCUUGAUGGUUGGUAUUCGAUGUCCCAAGUUCGAAUCCCAGUUGAUUUAUAUUUCAAGUUAAGUUUAUUUCUAAAAAGAAAUAAACGAAACGGGUAGAAUGCUAUCUAUUUUUCAAAAAAAAAAAAAAUUGAUGACUAGCCUGGCAUGUUGCAGAAUAUGAGGUAAAUUUUAUAAAAAGUCUAUACUCCAUCCCAAUAUUGCAAUUUGGUCCUUCCAGUUUUCAUUUCAUAAUUCAAAUUCUGAACUUUGCUUACACUGAACCUAAACUUUUUAAUUCACGAUCGUUGAUAAGAAAUCUGAUGUAUGUUAUUAACCACUUUUUAGCCUUAUUCACAGUGAAAUAAGUGAAUCAUUUCAUAGGUAAUCGUUAUUUUAUUAAAAUAAAAAUAGAUAAUUUUUGCUUAUGGUUAGAAUAAAAUAUAGUAGAAUAAACUUCAAUUUACAUCCUUCUCGGCGCAUUUUAUAUUUGCCACUCUUUUUAUUUCACGGUAAGAAUCUUUUUUUGAAUAGAGCGUUUUACUAUUUUAUACUCUGCACUCUAGGAUGAUGGUGUGUUUUUUAAUAAGUAUUAUUUUGCUAUCAUAUUUAAUAGUAUGUUUGUACAGUAAAAUAAAAAUAAAAUCAGAAGAUGAUUAAUAAGGUUUUUGUGGUUUGAGGGGGAAAUGGAAGGGACAAGGACUAAAUCGCAAAAUCAGAAUAGUUAAGUGAUUAAUGCCGCAAGUUGCACCUGACUGCUAACGGCUGUCUGCAGCGGCAGUUGAAAAUUCGGUAAGUAGGUUCGCCGGCCGACGUAGGAAAAGGAAGAAUUCAUAUAUUCAUAUUUUUUAUUUUUUAUUUUUAAAGACUAAUAAGUGAAAUCUCUCUUUGUUAUUCCCUCCCACUUUUGUCGCUUCUGAGCUCCUCCUUUUUGUUUAAAUUAGCCAUGAAAACAUCACUUAAUUUCCAACAACAUGGAGAAGAGGUGACACCCUCCUCUUCCUCUUUCUUUUCUUCUUUUUUUUUUUCCUUUUUUCUCUUUUUUCCUCUCAAAGAGUUCAGCUCAAGUGAAAGGCACAUACAGGAUUGUUUAGUUUCUCACAAAAGUAUGAAAGAAAAAAAAAUUAGAAAAUAAUUUUUUUAUGAAAAACUUAUUUUUUUAGUUUCUCGUCAGUUUGGUUUUAAAAAAAACUAGUUGUUUCUCCAAAAAAAAUUCUAAACUUUGUAGAAAACUAAUAUUUUUGUUUUUCUAAAAAAAAAAUCAGAAAACAAAAUACCAAUUUUUCAUUAAUUUUUUAAAAAAAUUUCUAAAAAAAUUUAGUUGUUCUUCUAACCAAACAAGCGAAAAAAUAGAAAAGAGAUUUUCCAUAGCAAAUGGUUUUCUCAAAAAUUUAUUUUCCAUACUUUUUCGAGGAAUCAAACAGCCCCUUCCCGCAAAGAAAGAUUGAAGAGUCACCCUUGUGAUUCGGAAUCUACGAUACAUUUAAGCAUUAUUACAAACAAUUCAAUUUUUUAAGAGCUAUGAAUGACUGUGAUUAAGCAAGCCCUUCAGAUUUUUUGGUUAGUGCGUCCUUCAUCUGAGCUGCGCUCGUGCUUAAAGAAAAUUUCUCGUUGGGAAAGAGAAUACUUUUAUAAAACAUAAGGCAUUAAUCUCGCGGAUACAUUCGCUGACUCCCUAAUGUGGCGUUGGACUAGUUCGGACCAUUUUACAGCAAGAUCCGCAUAUCAAUUCCUGGUUUAUGAUGGCAUCAACAAUUGUCCGAUUAAGUUCCUGUGGAAACUCAAAACACCUCUUACAGUUAAACUUUUCCUAUGGCUCGCGAUGAAGAAACUGUCGAGCAUUUGCUGCUAAGCUGCACCUUCGCCAAGUCGGUGUAGAAGCGGUUGCUAUUGGGCACUCCGGCCGCGUUACUACAGACAAUGCAAUCUUCACAGGGGAUUGUGGACACGUGGCUUCGGUCAAGAAGGCUACUGACGGGGGCAAACAAAAAACAUUUCGACGUCGGCUUCGCUGCAGCGUGUUGGGAGCUGUGGAAGGAAAGGAAUAGGAGAAUCUUCGACGAUCGGUUAGAAGACUGCAAAAAUCUGGGAACAAGAAUUUGUGCGACAACUGGCCAUUGGGAAUACGCAUUAGCAAGCUAACUUCGCCUUACCCACUCUUUGUCACUCUCCCCACCUCCUAAAUCUGGGUUGAAUCCUUUUUGUUUUCCUUUUUUUGAUCUGGGUCGAAUAUUUUUGUAAGGUUCCAUUGGGGUCUCAUGGGGGCUUCGAGGCCUGGGUCCGUGUAACUCAUUACCUGUUCCUGUUCUCGUCUACCAAAUAGGGUAUAUCCCUGUUUAAUCAAAAAAAAUUUCUUUCUAUGUCAGGAUUGCUGUGGUAACAGGAGGGAACAAAGGGAUUGGAUUGGAGAUUUGCAGGCAGUUGGCCUCUACUGGAGUCAGAGUCAUAUUAACUGCUAGAGAUGAGAAGAGGGGUUUGGAAGCAGCAGAAAAGCUCAAACAAUCCGGGCUUUCCGAUGUGAUCUUCCACCGAUUAGAUGUGACCGACUCUUCUGGCAUCGCUUCGUUCGCAGAGUUCGUCAAGAUUUCGUUUGGAAAGCUUGAUAUCUUGGUGAAUUGUCCUUCUUCGCAUCUGUCGAAAGAGUUUUAUCAUACUAUGAGAAAUUUAUAACUCUAAAUCAAUCUCUAUCAUAAUUUUUCUUCUCAAGGAUGAGAAGAGGAGUCACGAUCGACGCCGAGAUACUGAACAAUCUUAACAUUGAAAGUGAGAAGGUAAUUACUUUAUCUUAAGGAUGCUGUUCUAUUUAAGAUCUAUUAAGUUUCUAACUUGUUAUCCGUAGCGAAAACAAAUACUAUUCCAGUUUCUGAUUGUUGAGUGCAGAAAACUCGAAGCAUCGUGAUGGAUUUUCUUAGUAAUCUGAAACAGAAUUAUGAGAUGGGUGAAGAGUGCUUGAAAACAAACUUCUAUGGCACUAGAGAUGUUACCCAAGCACUUAUCCCUCUUCUACUGUCAUCCAAUUCUGGAAGAAUAGUAAAUGUUUCAGCAAAAAUUGCGCAAUUUAAGGUGAAUAAGCCAUUCUCAAUUGUUUUCUGAACUUUAUUCUGAACUUUUAAUUUUGAUAACUAUGUCUCAUAAAGUUAAUCAAAUAAUUUAAUUGGCGCUUUCCUUCAAUUGAAGUUACUAGUUAAAUAGUUAUGCUGAUCGCAUGUAAUGUAGAUAAUUCUGUAAAACUUCAAAAUGCAAAAAAACAAAAGGCAAAAUACUUCAGUGCCCAUUAUUCAACGUAAUAAUUAUUGAUUGCAAGUGGUAAGAGAGACCUGUUUAUAGGACUGUCGAUUCUUAUUUAAUUGUCUUGUCGAUAUUUGAUAGAGGACUUUACUUUUUUAUAAAUUAACCCUUUAGAAUUUUAAAAUUUACGAAAUAAUCCUUCCAAAAUUAUAUUUGUAAAACUAAUUCUUCUUUCGCCACGUAGGGACAGGGACGAAUUUUUUUCAUAAAGGCAGUGAAUCGUUUACCGACACAUAGUCUUUUGCUUACUUAAAAAUUUUUUCUAUAUCCCAUAUAUAAUCUUAACAACAAUAUAAAAAUUAUAACAAAUCACAUAUAAUUUUAAUAAUCUAAAAAUCCUAAUAAUCUAUCCAUAUAAUUCUAACAAUCAAAUAAAAAUUCUAAUAAUUCACGUAUAAUUCCAAAAAUCUCUUUUUUUUUAUUUUUCAUCUAACUACCUCACAUUUUCCUGUACGUGGAUUAUAUGGGAAAUAGAAAUACGUGGAUUAUAUGAGAAAUAAAAAAAAAAAAGGUUGUUAGGAUUAUAUGUGAAUUAUAUGAAAAAUAGAAAAAAGUGAGGUUGUUAGAUGUAAAAUAGAAAAAAAGAGGGUUGUUAGGAUUAUACGUGAAUUAUAUGAAAAAUAGAAAAAAGUGAGGUUGUUAGAGGUAAAUAGGAAAAAGUGAGGUUUUUAGUAUGCGUAGAUUAUUAUAAUUUUUAUUUGAUUGUUAGAAUUAUAUGCAUAGAUUAUCAGAAUUUUCAGGUCAUUAAGAUUAUAAUAUGUGAUUUGUUGUAAUUUUUAUGUUAGAAUUGUAUGGAUAGAUUAUUAGGAUUUUCAGGUUGUUAAGAUUAUAUGUGAUUUGUUGUAAUUUUUAUGUUAGAAUUGUAUGGAUAGAUUAUUAGGAUUUUCAGGUUGUUAAGAUUAUAUGUGAUUUGUUGUAAUUUUUAUGUUAGAAUUGUAUGGAUAGAUUAUUAAGAUUUUCAGGUUGUUAAGAUUAUAUGUGAUUUGUUGUAAUUUUUAUGUGGUUGUUAAUAUUAUAUAUGGGAUAUAGAAAAAACAGUAAAGAAGCAAAAGAUGGUAAACCAUUCUUCACUGCCUUCAUAAAAAAUUUCCGCCCCUAUGCCUACGUGGCGAACGUAGGAUUAGUUUUACAAAUAUAAUUUUGAAAAGGUUAUUUUGCAAAUUUUAAAAUUCUAGAGGAUUAGUUUAUAAAAAUGUCCUUUGAUAGACAUUUUUCUCUUGCAUUUUAUUUUUUUGAUUAAUUUCUAAUAAUUUUGUAGAGAUAUCUAUAAUAUAUUGUAACUUUUGAUAGAUAUAUUUGAAACUGGCUCUCCAUAUAUUUAGGGCAUGUUUGAUUUGCUUUUUAUUAAAAAAAAAUAGACCUGUGGUAUACCGUAAUCCUAUUCAAUUUCGUUUUUCGCUCCAGAAUGGAAACCCACUAAUUCGAGUAAAAACCAAUUAUGCCUCAAACCUCGGAUUAAAGCUCGAUUCCCGGAUCAUAUAAUUAGAAAAAAUAAAAACACCUUCAUAGAGAAAAACACAUAGCUCGUUUUUGCCGCCACUCUCAAACAAUAGUAUGUAAUGACUAAUUCCGAUUUUAAUUCCCGUCUAUUCUGAUUUUAAUUUUGACUUGGAACCAAACACGCCUUUAGAGUGCAAAUAAGUUCAAUGCACAGGUGCCGGUCUGUGUAAGUUUUGACUAAUUACUCUGAAAUUGGACUUAAAAAAAGGACUAAUAAGCCAUUCACUUUUAGUGCAAAAUUGCAAAUUUAACACCCGUCUUGAGCCGCUUUGACAAAAUUAAUUUGUCACUAUCAAAAUUAAGUUUGAUCAUUUAGAAAUUUAACUCUCGUCGGUAUUCGCAUUUCUCUCGUCAUUGACAAGCAUGCAUGACGACUUUUUUUUUUUUUUUUAGAGAAAUAAGUAGCAAGCUACCUGCUUCAUUUAUUAAGCAAAAUGAACUAAGCGUACAUGGUGGAAGCAGCUAGGGCCUCCAAAUAAGCCAGCAAAAAAAGGAAAAAAAAAGAAGAAAAAAAACGGAAGCCCGGGAGGUGGACAAAUGAAGUAACAGUCUAGAUUCACAGAACUUCGGUUCAAGAUUUGAUCAGAGACAAAGAGACAAGCAUGCAUGACGACUUAAUCAUGGUUUAGGACAUUUGGGCGGACCAGCCGUCGGACUUGGUUAAUUGGAAACUAGUGUGAUGGCUGAUUUGGUUUAUCGCUAUUUUUUCCUUUCUCAUUUUUGAUGUCCAUUGUUGCUAAAACUGACAAACAAGCGAUUUGGGCAACCAACGGACAGGUUAUUAUACUUGUGGGUUAUGUGAACAUAAAUAAAAUUUAUCCGUAAAUUUCUGAAUAGCAAUCAUUGUUAUCCAUAUCCGUCCAAGAGUGGGCAGGCGGAUAUACGGGUUAUCCAUAAGAUUUUUUUUUUCUUUUCGUUUUUAUACUUUUCAAACAAAAAUGACAUAUAUAUUAUCUUUAAAAAACCGAAACUUAAUUUAUUGUUAAAAACAUCACAACAUAUAAUAGAUAGUAACGAAAAAAAGCAUUAGGAGAAAUUAGUAUUAGGGUUCUAGAGACAAGUAAAAUAAAAAAAGUUAUUUAUGCCAGCACGGGUACCCGCAGAUUGUCCAAAAUGCCUAAAAUUUAAUGGACACUCAUUCAUUUUAUACAUAAAUUUUUAGGAAAUAAAAAUUAGUAUUCAUAUUCGAAAAUUUGCGGAUAAUCCGUAGGCGCUCACGGGUACGAGUUGAGAUUGCCUGGUUUAAUUGUUACUAUCUAUGGCAAAAUCAUAUGUUGUUCAAUAAUUAUUUAUAUUUUAAUUAUAUCUUGAAAUUUUGCUUUACAAGACCUUAACCGACGUAGUUUUUUAAAUAAUUCAUUCAAUAUACAAGAAAAUUUAUCUUGUUUCCGAAAAAUAUAACGACUCACGGUCUGUAUAUAAUAUUUUAUUAUAGCGUCACAAGCGUGUAAUCAUAUUUUUUAUCUAUCAUUAUUAUAUUCUUUUAUUAGUAAACAAAACAUGUGCCAAUGCUAAUGAAUUCAAAAAGGCUCGGAAAAUACUAAUUAAUAAUUGGCUGUCGUCUGCUAUAACGCAGGAAAUUAAUUCACAGUGGCUCACGCUGUUAUACAUGUCGAAAAGAAUACUUCUUAUACACUCAAAAAAAAAUGUAUAUUUUAGACCCAUCUUAAAAUUGAUAAAAAUUUAAAUAAUUUAGUAAAAAAAAUUUAUAUAAUAAAUAGAAUAUUAAUAAAUUUAGAAUGAAGUGGAUGUAAGAAUUAUUUUGAUCCACAACGCCAAUGGGGGUCUUGGAAAGUGUCUCAGCCACCUCCCUCCCUAUCUUGCUUGGACUUACAGGUAGUCAUCAAUUGUUAUCGUAGUACAACAAAAAUUUUCAAACUUUUUUAUUGACAAAGGAGGAGUCUAAUUAAGAAAAAAUUGAUAAUACAGUAAGCGCGAAUUAAAAAUAUAGAAAAACUUCAAAAAAUUCUCCUGUGGUUUCGCACUUUUUUAUUUUUGUAUCCUAUAGUUUAAAGUGUAUCAAGUUAGUACCUGUAGUUUCACACUUUCUCACUUUAGUACUAUGUGGUUUAAAGUGUAUCAAGUUAGUACUCAGUGGUUUUAUUUUUGUAUCAAGUUAGUACCCUGUGAUUUUAUUUUUGUAUCAAGUCAGUACCCUGUGGUUUUUAAACCACGGGGUACUAAAGUGAGAAAGUGCGAAACCACAGGGUCUUAACUUGACACAGUUUAAACCACAGGGUACUAAAGUAAAAAAAAGUGCAAAAUCACAGGGUACUAACUUGAUACACUUUAAACUAUAGAAUACUAAAGUGAGAAAGAGUGAAACCACAAGGGGGUAUUUGAAGUUUUUUUCUGAAAAAAUAACAGUUGAGUGGACAAUUUCAAACUCAAACAUAGCAAUGGGAGUCUCCAUACAUUUUUAUCUAUAUCUAUAUAUAUGAAUGAGAUCGAGGCACCAUACCCAACCAUUAAAAAGCUCUCUCUGAAUUAUAUUGCUUCUUCUUGCAGGAGUAUUAUGGCCGCAACAAUCGGCGGACCUGUCUCCUGCCUCAACAGGUAAUUAUCACAAGCUCUUUGUAAUUUUUAUUUUUUAUAUCUGUAUUAUGCUUUAAUAGAAGUUAUUCAGCAUACCUUUAAAAUUUAUAUUAGAGAUCUGUGUCAGUCAGUCAUGAUUAUAAAUUCCGAAUAAUCCCACAUCAAAUGAGAAAGGAGNCACAAGCGUGUAAUCAUAUUUUUUAUCUAUCAUUAUUAUAUUCUUUUAUUAGUAAACAAAACAUGUGCCAAUGCUAAUGAAUUCAAAAAGGCUCGAAAAAUAAUAAUUAAUAAUUGGUUGUCGCCUGCUAUAACGCAGGAAAUUAAUUCUCAGUGGCUCAAGCUGUUAUACAUAUCGAAAAAAAUACUUUUUAUACACCCAAAAAAAAAUGUAUAUUUUACACCCCAUCUUAAAAUUGAUAAAAAUUGACAUAAUUUAGUAAAAAAAAUUAAUAUAAUAAAUAGAAUAUUAAUAAAUUUAGAAUGAAGUGGAUGUAAGAAUUAUUUUGAUCCACAACGCCAAUGGGGUCUUGGAAAGUGUCUCAACCACCUCCCUAUCUUACCUGGACUUACAGGUAGUCAUCAAUUGUUAUAGUAGUACAACAAAAAUUUUCAAACUUUUUUAUUGACAAAGGAGUCUAAUUAAGAAAAAAUUGAUAGUACAGUAAGCGUGAAUUAAAAAAAAGGAAUACUUUAAAAAAUCCUCCUGUGGUUUCACAUUUUUUUAUUUUAGUAUCCUAUGAUUUGAAGUGUAUCAAGUUAGUACAUGUGGCUUCACAAACCAUAUGAUUUAAAGUGUAUCAAGUUAGUACUCUGUAGUUUUAUUUUUGUAUCAAGUUAGUACCCUGUGGUUUUAUUUUUGUAUCAAAUUAGUACCCUGUGGUUUUAUUUUUGUAUCAAAUUAGUACCCUGUGGUUUAUAAACCACUGGGUACUACUAAAGUGAGAAAGUGCGAAACCAUAUGGUACUAACUUGAUACAGUUUAAACCACAGGGUACUAAAGUGAAAAAGUGCAAAAUCACAGGGUACUAACUUGAUACACUUUAAACUAUAGGGUACUUCCUCUGCGGUCUUCUUUCCCAAUUGGGUAGCAAGGGAAUCAGCCGUCGGUCGUAGCCCCCUCUCGCUGGGGAACUUCGUUUUUCGCUUCUCUAACUGGGUCGAGACGGGGGAAAAGUUGAGGGGCCACCUGCGCCACAAGGCUUGGAUCAAGUUACAUCAUUGGCCGAUCUUAUGCUGGAACGUUGAGGACGUGAAAGCGGCAGUAAGCGGCUUUGGUGCUCUUUGGGAGGUUGACCGGGAUAGUGAGGAGCGCCUCGACGUCUCCUUUUUUCGGGUCAAUGUCCGCUGCCAGGACGUCAGCCUCAUCCCUGAGGUGCUGCACCUAAUGGUUGAGGAUCGGUGCUUUACUGUCCCCAUUGAGGUUGAAUCUUGGGAGGAGGCCAACCCCAUCUUCUUAGGCGAAGAUCUGGAUCGCCACCUGGGUCUGGAUACUUGGGAGGCCCAGGAAGCCUUCAUCACUCGAACGGGCUUCUCCUCUAUUCCCCGUGCAAGACGUGAAGUGGGUCUGCCUAACACUGGUGCCCCUUCUCCUGGGUCUGGCAAUCGGGUCGAGGGUGAGGGGGCCAGAGAGGAUGAGGGCGCCGGUGUAAGAGAAGGAGCCAGAGGGGGCGAGAGGGGGGGUGCCUUUGCUCCUUCCCUCACGAUUGCUGGCAAUCGGGUCCAGGGCGAGGGGGCCAGUGAGGCUGAGGGUGCCAGAGAUGGAGAUGGAGCCAUAGAGGGCGAGGGCGUGGGUGUCAUUGCUCAUUCCCCCACGGAUGCUGGACAAGGCGGAAACGAUCUAAGGCUAGGUCUCGCUGGCCUCCCCUUUCCUUUGGCUGUGGGACUUGUCGGAGGCGCCGGACGACGCGGUUCCACGGGGCGAGUUGAUGGCGUCGGUCGUCGGGGCGUUGCUAGCCAUCGCCGCCACCGUCGCCGGAGUGAUAGGAGAUCGGCUUCUUCAAAUUUUUCAAAUUCGAAUCCUCCUGACACGAGGCCUGUCAGGUCGUACCCCGGGUCUGUCCUAGAUGACCUGACCCUCUGUCAGGCUGAUGGCUCCUCCCGUCCUCCGAGAAGCCAGCUGGAGGCCCCAUCCGCUUUGUGUUUUCAAAUGGGUUCAGACCCGGAUCCGCCCUGUCCGGAUCCUCAGAUGGGUUCAGAUCCGAAACCGCCUAGCCCGGAUCUUCAGAUGGGUUCAGACCCGGAUCCGCCCAGCUCGAUUCUGCUACCCGAUGAGAACCCGCAACCCGCAGCCUUGGGCCGCGUGACUGCUCACCUGGACCAGCUAACCUCCAACGUUUUGGGCCACCUUGGGCCAAACGAGCCGGAUCCUUCUCUUUUGGGCGAGCCCGUUUCUACUGUUGUUUUGGGACAGCUUUCUCCUGGGCCGAGCGAGUCCUCUACGGUCCUGGGCAAUACAGACUUGCAGCUUAUAUGUUCUAGAUCGGCUUUGGUGGCGGGCGCUCUUUUGCCGCUUAAUCCUUGCGGUGCUUCUGGGAGCGUCUUCUCGCACCGCCGAAGUACGCGCCUCGCUGCCAAAAACAAGGGAGCCAUUAAGCAUUCCCUAUUGAAGGCACAGGAUCUUAUGUGUCGGAAGACCAAGUUGGCGAGGCUCGUCUCUACGUUGGCCAGACCAUCCUCUCCCGUAUCACCGUCGGCCUCGACCUCCCCGAACCAACCUUCUUUCGAUCAACCUCCUCCACCGACUCCAAGCGGUCGACCCCUCCUUCAGAUCUCAACCGCUCAACUUCCUCCUCCGUCUGCUACUGAUCAACCUGAUUCUCCAACUCCGACUCCACCCGGCCCAGCUUCGCCUCCUCUAGCGAAUCGGAAACCCGCCUUCCCUCUCUCUCUGAAGGAGAUUCAGUUUNUCUAAAAUGAUACAUUUGAUUGGUUUGUUACGCCACAUCAUCAAUAUACACGUUGUAUUCUAGAAUUUUUCCACUUUUAGACUCUUAUCUUACUUUGGCAUCGGACUUUGACCUUUUAGUGCAAGGAAAUCUGGAGUUUGAUGUUUCAUAUGGCAAGGCAUGUGUACUUUCUGUGACACCCCUAAAAUUUAGAAUAAUUUUAUAUAUAAGAUAUAUCUCUUAAUUCGAUUAUAUAAUUUUGAACGGCAGUCAAAUCCAAGAGAUUAAAAGGGCUAAAUAUGUUAGAGUUAAACUAGUUAUAGAAUAUGUGACCCAUGUAGAAAACAUAGCUAAUUAUUAGCCAAAAGUAUAAGAUAGGUCUCUGAGAUAGGGUUUAAGAACGAGAGACUAAAUCAGAGUCUAAUAACAAGGCUGGUGAAACCGCCCUUACAUUGUCUAAUGCUUGUGAAUAUACUCUAACCUAAAGAGGAUGUCCGAACUAGAAGAGAAAUGUACACCCUUCGAAUUUGAAAUAGUCCUACAUAUAAGAUAUAAUAAUAAAACUAAAUUGCUUAACCUGAUUAUUACAUUUUGAGCAAUGAGCAGGCCUAAGCAUGUCAGGAUUAGAAUAGUUUUUGAAUAGGUGACCCUCUUGAGAAGCUGUCAAAACUAUAUUUAUGAUGUCUAUUCAUAGAAAUUUAAAUUUAUUUUAGACUUAUUGAGAAUAUGCAAAUUCAGGUUUUUUAUUUUUUUUUUUUAUAUUUUCGUGAAUCAGCUGGGUAAAUCAGCUAAUCCCUUCAUUAUUGGAGAGACCUACGAAAGGGCAGAAAAGUGUGUGAGCACAAACUAUUACGGAACUAAAACGAUGACGGAGACGUUCAUUCCUCUUCUUUUAUCAUCCCAGUCACCAAGGAUAGUAAAUGUUACCUCCCGUUGUGGGAAGCUACAGGUAUAAUAUGUUACACAUAAACUAAUCCAGUAUACUGCAACUAUUUCUAACUUUUUUCCAAUCUUAUUUCAGUACAUUCCUAACCAGAGCAUCCAGAAAGAAAUAGGCGACAUAGAUAACUUGACGGAGGGGAAAAUCGACGAGAUGGUACGAUCCUUUCUGAGUGACUUUAAGGAAGGGAAUCUGAGGAAAAAUAACUGGCCUACUAGCUUGUCGGCGUACAUUGUGUCGAAAGUGGCGGUGAGUGCGUAUACAAGGCUUAUCGCAAAGAGGUAUCCCGCAAUUUGUACAAACUGUAUACAUCCAGGAUUUGUGAGAACGGACAUAACUGGGGAUUUGGGCACGUUGUCGGCCGAAGAAGCCGCGAAGGGCCCUGUCAUGUUGGCUUUGCUUCCUGAUGGUAGCCCUUCUGGGCUUUUCUAUGACCAAACAGAAGUAUCAUCGUUUACGUGAUAAUUUUAGUACGCGCAUUUGAGAGAGAAAAAGAAUAAAUAUAUUGUACUUUAUGUAUUUCUCUCUUUUCUGUCUAAAAAAAUUAUUUGGUACUUAAAAGAAAGAUCCUCUUACUAUCCUCUUACUAUUGCAUAUAAAUAGUCAGAUAAAUGCAUCGUAUGAAAAAGAUAAUUGCUUAAAAAGUUUUCAAUGGCUGAGUGAAUAAAGAUCAAUAAAAUUAUUGUUGGCUUAAAUAGGCCAGCAUCCUGUCCUGUGGCGGACGGUCGUGUUGGGCCGAAUCAUGUUCGAAAUGGUGAAAGACUGGGUGGGCGGAGUCAUGUUCGAAAUGGCGUGAGGCUGGUUUGGCCGAGUCACAAUCGAGACUCGUGGGCGUUGUAUUUAUACGCUUUAUGUGAAUUGAUUAAGUAUUUCUAAUAGCUUGAACUUUUGGAAUUAAUGGUUAGAGCCAACGAUCCGAUAAUUAUAUAUUAUAUAUUAUAAAUAUGAAUUCAAGAAUGAGGACAAUUUAGCUUGAAUGAGAAAAUGGAGAUGGAUAUUUUAAUCUGCGUCAUCUUAAUAAUUAUAACUGAUUCUUAAGGAAGAUUACUAUGAUUUCAGCUGAUAGGAAAAAAUAAGAAAAUUGAUGACUAGCCUGGCAUGUUGCAGAAUAUGAGGUAAAUUUUAUAAAAAGUCUAUACUCCAUCCCAAUAUUGCAAUUUGCUCCUUCCACUUUUCAUUUAAAUAAUUCAAAUUCUGAACUUUGCGUACGCUGAACUUUUUAAUUCACGACCGUUGAUAAGAAAUCUAAUGUAUGUUAUUAACCACUUUUUAGCCUUAUUCACAGUGAAAUAAGUGAAUCAUUUCAUAGGUAAUUGUUAUUUUAUUAAAAUAAAAAAUAGAUUAUUUUUUUCUUAUGGUUAGAAUAAAAUAUAGUAGAAUAAACUUCAAUUUAUAUCCUUCUCAGCGCAUUUUAUAUUUGCCACUCUUUUUAUUUCACCGUAAGAGUUUUUUUUGAACAGAACGUUUUACUAUUUUAUACUCUGCACUCUACGAUGAUGGUGUGGUUUUUAAUAAGUAUUAUUUUGCUAGCAUAUUUAAUAGUAUGUUUUUACAGUAAAAUAAACAUAAAAUCAGAAGAUGAUUAAUAAGGUUUUUGUGGUUUGAGGGGGAAUGAAAGGGACAAGGACUAAAUCGUAAAAUCGGAAUAGUUAAGUGAUUAAUGCCGCAAGUUGCACCUCACUGCUAACGGCUGUCCGCAGCGGCAGUUGAAAAUUCGGUUAAGUAGGCUUGCCGGCGGACGUAGGAAAAGGAAGAAUUCAUAUAUUCAUAUUUUUUAUUUUUUAUUUUUAAAGAUUAAUAAGUGAAGUCUCUCUUUGUUAUUCCCUCCCACUUUUGUCGCUUAUGAGCUCCUCCUUUUUGUUUAAAUUAGCCAUGGAAACAUCACUUAAUUUCCAACAACAUGGAGAAGAGGUGAUAUACCCUCCUCUUUCUUUUUUUUUUUCCUUUUUCUUUUUUUUUUUCCUCUCAAAGAGUUCAGCUCAAGUGAAGGGCACAUACAAGAUUGUUUAGUUUCUCACAAAAGUAUGAAAAAAGAGAAACUAAUUUUUUUAUGAAAAAAAUUAUUUUUUUAGUUUUCCGUCAGUUUGAUUUCAAAAAAAAAAACUAUUUAAUUGUUUCUCUAAAAAAAAUUCUAAAUUUUGUAGAAAACUAAUAUUUUUGUUUUUUUCUUAAAAAAAAUCAGAAAACAAAAUGCCAAUUUUUCAUGAAUUUAAAAAAAAAAACUUUCUAAAAAAAUUUAGUUUUCCUUCUAACCAAACAAGCGAAAAAUUAGAAAAGAGGUUUUCCAUAGCAAAUGUUUUUCUCAAAAGUUUAUUUUCCAUACUUUUUCGAGGAAUCAAAUAGCCCCUUACCGCAAAGAAAGAUUGAAGAGUCACCCUUGUAAUUCGGAAUAUAGGAUACAUUUAAGUAUUAUUACAAACAAUUCAAUUUUUUAAGAGCUAUGAAUGACUGAGAUUAAGAAAGCCCUUCAGAUUUUUUGGUUAGUGCGUCCUUCAUCUGAGCUGCACUCGUGUUUAAAGAAAAUUUCUCGUCGGGAAAGAGAAUACUUUUAUAAAAUAUAAUUGGAGAGCUCAAUUUCUUUCUAUGUCAGGAUUGCUGUGGUAACAGGAGGGAACAAAGGAAUUGGAUUGGAGAUAUGCAGGCAGUUGGCCUCUAAUGGAGUCAGAGUCAUACUAACUGCUAGAGAUGAGAAGAGGGGUUUGGAAGCAGUAGAAAAGCUCAAACAAUCCACGCUUUCUGAUGUAAUCUUCCACCGAUUAGAUGUGACCGAUCAUUCCAGCAUUGAUUCAUUAUCGGAGUUCGUCAAGAUUUCUUUUGGAAAGCUUGAUAUCUUGGUGAAUUAUCCUUCUUCGCAACUGUCGAAAGAGUUUUAUCAUACUUUGAUAAAUUCAUAACUCUAGAUCAAUCUCUAUCAUAAUUUUUCUUCUCAAGGAUUGAAAGUUUAUUGAAAAACUUUUUGACAUUUACUUCUGUGACUUUUUCUCGCAUUUCAGGUGAACAAUGCUGCAAUAGGAGGAGUCACAAUCGACGCCGAGAUACUGAACAGUCUUAAGAUUGAAAGUGAGAAGGUAAUUACUUUUAUCUUAAGGAUGCUGUUCUAUUUAUGAUCUAUUAAGUUUCUAACUUGUUAUCCGUAGCGAAAACAAAUACUAUUCCAGCUUCUGAUUGUUGAGUGCAGAAAACUCGAAGCAUCGUGAUGGAUUUUCUUAGUAAUCUGCAACAGAAUUAUGAGAUGGCUGAAGAGUGCUUGAAAACAAACUUCUAUGGCACUAGAGAUGUUACCCAAGCACUUAUCCCCCUUCUACUGUCAUCCAAUUCUGGAAGAAUAGUAAAUGUUUCAGCAAAAAUUGCGCAAUUUAAGGCGAAUAAGCCAUUCUCAAUUGAUUGAGUUCUUUCACUAUAUCUAUUUACUUAAAAGGUUAAUUUUAUACAAAAAUAUAAUCGAAUAGUAAAUUUAUCCCUACAAGAUUUAACUUUUUCAUAUUUAUCCUUGCAAAAGCUAAAUGACAUUCAUAUUUGCCCUCUGAUUUAUUAUCGUUAGAGCACUGUUUAUUUUUUAAAUAGAAAAUAAGUGAAAUAAUAUUUUUGACAUCACAAAUAUACCCCUCGAAAAGCCCAAACUGUUAAAAUUAUAUAAAAAUAUCCUCCAAAAAAUCUCUAAUGGUCAUCUUCUUUCUUUUACCAUCACAAAUAAUAUAAAAGGAAUAAAAAGGUCAAUUUACCUCAUUCACUAAUCAAGAUUAAGUAUUUUACCUAUGGUUAACUAUAUAUUUCUAACGGAUCUUAACAGUAGGAGUAUAUUUGAAAAUAUUAAAACUUUUGUAAGAAUAAAUAUAAAAUGUUGAAUUUUGUAGAAAUAUAUCUGCUAUUCGAUAUGCUUAUAGAGAGUUGCAUGCAAUUAACCCUUACUUAGAUAAAAGUUAAAAAAUAUAUAUUUAUUUGACAGUAGUUUAAUUUUGUGCCAAAAAGGUAUAUAAAAUGUGUUUUGCAAAAAUUAAUGUGUUUUCUCAAAAAACUAAAAUAGAAAUCACACGGGUUGUAGCAUUACACUUCAAACCACAAAGUGGUGGUGUUUUUUCAAUCUACAAUCAAUAAAAUAUAGAGUAAACUUCAAAUACCCCCAUUGUGGUUUCGCACUUUCUCACUUUAAUAUCUUGUGUUUUAAAGUGUAUCAAGUUAGCCCCUGUGGUUUCGCACUUUCUCACUUUAGUAUCAUGUGGUUUAAAGUGUAUAAAGUUAGUACCCUAUGGUUUCUUUUUUUUCUUUUUAUUAUCUAUUUUACUAAUUUUUUUCGUUAAUUAAAAAUUAGUGACAAAGUUAAAAUUAAAGGGUACUAAAGUGAAUAUUCGAUAAACUAGGUAGAGUAUCUGAAGUUUUUUAUAUUUAAUUUAAUGAAAUAUUAACGGAGGAAAAAAAAUCAGUGACAAAGUUAAAACUANAAAUAAUAUAAAAGGAAUAAAAAUGUCAAUUUACCUCAUUCACUAAUCAGGAUUAAGUAUUUUACCUAUGGUUAACUAUAUAUUUCUAACGGAUCCUAACAGUAGGAGUAUAUUUGAAAAUAUUAGAACUUUUGUAAGAAUAAAUAUAAAAAGUUGAAUUUUAUAGAAAUAUAUUUGCUAUUUGAUAUGCUUAUAGAGAGUUGUAUGCAAUUAACCCUUACUUAGAUAAAAGUUAAAAAAUAUAUAUUUAUUUGACAGUAGUUUAAUUUUGUGCCAAAAAGGUAUAUAAAACGUGUUUUGCAAAAAUUAAUGUGUUUUCUCAAAAAACUAAAAUAGAAAUCACACAAGUUGUAGCAUUACACUUCAAACCACAAAGUGGUGGUGUUUUUUCAAUCUACAAUCAAUAAAAUAUAGGGUAAACUUCAAACACCCCCAUUAUGGUUUCACACUUUCUCACUCUAAUACUAUGUGGUUUAAAGUGUAUCAAGUUAGCCCCUGUGGUUUCACACUUUCUCACUUUAGUAUUCUUUGGUUUAAAGUGUAUAAAGUUAGUACCCUAUGGUUUCAUUUUUUUUCUUUUUAUUAUCCAUUUUACUAAUUUUUUUCGUUAAUUAUAAAUUAGUGACAAAGUUAAAAUUAAAGGGUACUAAAGUGAAUAUUCGAUAAACCUAGGUAGGGUAUCUGAACUUUUUUAUAUUUAAUUUAAUGAAAUAUUAACGGAGGAAAAAAAAAUCAGUGACAAAGUUAAAACUAAAGAGUACUAAAGUAAAUAUUCGAUAAACCUAUGUAGGGUAUCUGAAGUUUUCUGUAUAUAAUUUAAUAAAAUAUUAACAGAUGAGCCGACGAAAAGAGAAAAAUGAAAUCACAGGGCACUAAAUUGAUGCACUUUAAACCACAGGGUAUUAAAGUGAGAAAGUGCGAAACCGCAGAAUACUAAAUUGAUACGCUUUAAACCACAGGGUACUAAAGUGAAAAAGUGCGAAACCACAGGGGUGGUAUUUGAAGUUUUUCCUAAAAUAUAUUCCAUUCAUAACCCUUUUAAUGACAAAUCUUAUAUAAACUAUAUUACUUUUUAUAUUUUUCCGAUCUGCAGUCUAUAAAAUAUAAUAUUUUGAUAUCUUUUUAACGACAGAUCGUAUAUAAAUUGUAAUUACUUUCUGAAUUUACCCAAAUAAACUGUAUGAUUCCAUUAACAUCUCAGAUCAACUGAAGCCAAAAGCUCAUGGAGGUGCUUCAGAAAAGGUGAUGGGCAAACAGAGGAGAAGCUGCUGGAGUUAUCCAGUUCCUUUUUAGAUGACUUCAGAGGAGGCAAAUUGCAAUGCAAUGGGUGGCCAACAACUACAUCAGCAUACACAGUGUCUAAAGCUUUAGUAAAUUCAUACACUAUGAUUUUGGCCCAAAAAUACCCUUCUUUGUGCAUAAAUUGUGUAAACCCCGGUUUUGUUAAAACUGAUAUGAAUUGGAACAUUGGAAUUAUGACCGUUGAAGAAGGUGCCAAGGGACCUGUCAUGUUAGCCCUAAUGGACGGUCCUGAUCGCUCCGGUCUCUUCUUUGAUCAGAUUGAAGAGUCCACCAUUUGAUUAAAUAAGGUGGCCAUUUUAAUUUUUUCUACAAUAUGUAAUAAUUAAUCAUCUACACUUUUUUCAUUUUUUUCCCUAUUUGAAUAAUAGGAGCUGCUAAGGCUAACUAUAAAACCCUUCGGAGGUGACUUGAAAGGUCAAAAGUAUGCACUUUACAUAUAUUGUGAUCAUAUAUAGAAAUAAAUUUUACUAACUGUUUACUAACGCAAAUGACAAGGGACUUGGUGAUUGGUAUCCGAAGUUACAAAUUCGAAGCCUAAUUGCUUCAUAUUUUCAGUUAAGUUUAUUUGUAAAAAAAAUAAACCAAACGAGUAGCAUACAAUCUUCCUCUAAAAAAAAAAAACCCCAAAAGAGAAAACUCGGUUAUAAACUCUUUUCCAAACAAGUUAAACUAUAAACAAAUUUGUGUUGGAUUUACAGAAAACAUGCUGAAAUUUAACUUCACAAAACGAUAUGACUAUAGACCUCCAAUCUUAAAUAAUAUUCAUCUACACUAUUUGACUAGUGAAUGUGCGCGUAAUUUCCCUUGCUUGUGAGGCUUCUUUCUACUACAACUCACAUAGGCUUCCUCUAUUUUUUUGAUCUCGAAUUCAAGUUCACCGAUUGAAGCGAAGACCGACAAAAUGGAACGGAAGAGAUCGAACUCUGGAACAGGGUCAAGUGGUACAUUUACUGGUCGAAGGUAAAAUGUGCACAAUCUUCAUCUGGAUUAUGGGGAAAACCCUGUAGCAUGCAAGCAAGUCAAUUCGACAAGGUAAAGUAAAAAAAAAAAAAAAAGAAAAAAAAAAGAAAAAGAAAAAGUAUCCCUCUUGUUCUUUUCCUCUCUUUCAAAAAAAAUAAAAAGAAAAAAAAAGAAUUUGUUGACACUUUCCUUCCACGUGGGAAAGCAUGUUUGGAAACAAAAUCAGAAUCAAAACUUGAACCAACUGCACGAUGAAAAGGCGGAAUACUUGCCAUUCCGUCACUUGAAUGAUUGAAUCGUCCCUAUUACUAUAGAUUGAAUUAACCACCUUAUAGUAGGUAAAGAGCUCAAGACAAACAAAGCCCAUGUGCCGAUAGCGCAUUAUGGACUUCAAAAGGAGGAAACCACUGGCUUUGCAACUAUCUCCACUGGCCGAGAAAUUGGUUAAACUGCUAGCAAUAAUAACUCGUUGGGCCAAACCACCAGUCCAAAAUACUUAAGCCCGGUUAUUAUUACUAGUGCUCUCUCUAUUUAGACCUGACGUUUUCGUCGAGUCCAAACCAGAAUUACCUGGAAUUACCAGACGAUGUGAGAUUAAAAAGUAACACUUUGCCCGACAUAGCACUUAACUCUCACACUUCCGAUUGGUAUUCGGCUCUGAUACCAAUUGUAACGAUCCUAUCCGAUCCGCUAGCAAUAAUAACUCGUUGGGUCCAAACAACGGAUCCAAAAUAUUAAAACUCAAUUAUUAUUACUAGGGUGUAAGCUUUAUAUAUUCUAAUCAGAAUCAGUUUUCCAUCCGAUGUUGAACUAUUAGGGCAUUAUAUUUUUUUUCCGAAAUUGCUUCUAUCUAGAAUAUUAUGCCUUCAUAGUAACCCCACUCUAGAUCGACAGUUGGAUGAAUGCAGACUCGCUGUCUAGCUCACAUAGAGGGCUUUCUUUAAACAAGAGGAAGGCUUUUAAGGGGGGCGUUGAAUGUUGAGACUGGGCCAAGUUCUCUUCUGUAUCAACCUUAGUCUGCAGAGAGAAUUGGGCCUUUCGUUUCUUAGACUUGGGUGCAACUUCGAAAGAUCAGAAAGCAGGCCUGAUUCAAGAAUAGGGCUGUCGGUUGAGCCCAUUUGGAUUGGAGCCAGCUCCCCAAUAUUUUCUUAUGUGUGACUCCUAAUAAAUAGUAUUUAUUUGGAAAAAGAUUAAAAUGUAAAAAAAGAAAAUUUUGCUUGCAAAUUUUAAUAUAUAAAUGAAUUUUAUUUGAUUAUAGUCAUGUAACUUGGCAAAAUAAUGUGAAGAAUUAUAGUAGAUUUAUUAAUUAAGUUUGUUUUUCUAUUACAGGUAGAUUAGUUUGAAAACUUCUAUUGUGUGAUAAAUUAGUAAAUUAAUAAAGAAUGAAAUCAAAUAAAAUUUUUUUGAAGUAUUCUAAUUGUUGAUGUAUUUUGAAAAUAGAGUGGUAUUUAAAGAAAAACUUGUCAUUUACUAUCAAUAAUAUUCUAAAUGAACUCCUUAUAUAUAAUUUAAGUUAAUUAACUUAAAUUUUUUUACAAAAUUUAUUGAUAAAAUUUUAAUUAUUAUUUAACGAACAAAAUUAAAAUAGUUAACGAUUUAUCUUUUAGUUAAGUUGUUGCUAUAUUUUAUAAAUCGAGCAAUGCUAUCUAUACACCUUGAAGUUGUGUAAAAUUUAUAUGCUACAUUUUAAGAGGCUGAGAUCAACUCGCUUAUCUUAAUAAUCUUUUUAAUGUGUCCUAUGUAUGGUGGAGCCAAUUUUUUUAAUGUGUCCUGUGUAUGGUGGAGCCUGAGACGGUCGACCACUUCUUUGUCAGAUGCAAGAUUACAAAAUCCCUCUUGGACAACCAACUAUUCAAUAAAAAAAUUUUACUCAGUUGCCUGUCAGUGAGUGGGCUGUGGGGGUAGGGAAGCUUACAACUAUUGUCUCAUUGUGGUGAAUUAUUUGGUUGGAGUGAAAUAAGAGAAUAUUCUAGGAAAAAAAAACCGCAACUCAAGCCAAUUGUUGGUGAUGUCCCGUUACUUUAGAAACCUGUGAAAAACUUAGUAUUUUACAUAAAUUGACUCUCUCUCUUUUUUUUCGAGGCCGGGCUGUCUUAGUACGAUGUUUAGUUCAACUUCUUUAUGAAUAAAGCGGUAGCAUACUAUUUUUUUUCAAAAAAAAUAAAUUAAUGUUAAAUGUUUUAAAAUAUUUAAAAUUUUAAAUCUAAAAGUAUAACAUAUUCACGAAGUGAAUAGGUAGCAUUUUUUUUUUUGUAAAUAUACAAAGAUGUACAUGUCGGUGUUGUGACCUUGACUAAUGUACAUAUCGGUACAUAAACUUUUGAACAAAUCUCUUUUAUAUACAGUCAAAAUUUUUAUAUAAUUAAUGCCUAGGUAAUAAUUUUUUGAAUCAUGUGAUGUGUUAAAAUCGGAACGGAAAAAAAAAGAUACAGAAAAUAAUUUAAUGUAGAAAAAAAAGGAUAAAAAAAGAGCACACCGAUAUUUACGUGGUUCGGCCAAUGACCUACGUCCACGGACGAAGACGGAGCAAAUAAUUUAUUAAUGUCGAAAGACGGAGUACAAGAAAAUUUCUCAAAGACCAAAAUUUAAUUAGAUCCGAAGCACCGAAAAUCCGCAUUCGUACAUGCGAUUCCAAAUAAGCUGCUCGGCUUACCAAAUGAAGGAUGUACGGCACCAUGCACCCUGAUUGAUGGUGUUGCAGCCACCGUACGAACCAUCACAAGCCACUUAAUUAAUUAGUGCAUCACAGCUCCUUCAACAGAAACAAGCAACCUCACAUUUUAUUAAUUAGCAUGGCAUCUUAAUAGGCCGGUCUCUUGCAGAACCAAGAACUCUCUAAUAUGCAAGGCUUAAUUUGAGUCGCGGCGGCUUCAUUAACAUGGCUGGCAUAUAUAUAGAGAAUGGCUUCAAAUUAGAGUCUAAUUGGAACUCUAAUCUAAUUAGAUUUCUAAAUACAAGUCUAAUCUAAUUCAAUUUGAAAUUAGAUUCCGAUUUAUAAUUCAUAUGUGCCAAAUUAAAUCUAAAUUAUAUAUAAUUUCAAUUAAAUUAGGAUUUAACUCUAAUUUAGAUAACUACAAAUUUAAACCAAAUAUAACAUGAUGUUUUAUAUAUUAGUAUUUUAUCAGAUAAGUGAUAUUAUUUCAAGACGUAUGUUUAUUUGAAGAUAAAUGUAAGCUAGGGGUGGCAAUCCAGCUCGUGUUCGGCUCGAAAUGAGCUCGAGAUCGAAUCGCUCGUUUAGUAAAUGAGCCGAACACGAGCUGAAUUUUUCGGCCCGUUUAAUAAACGAACUGAACACGAGCUAGUGUUAGCUCGCUCGUGUUCGGCUCGAUAACAGCUCAAAUACAUAUAUUUUAUAUUUAUAUAAUUUAUUUAAUGUAUAUUAUUAUAUAUAAAUAUAUAAUUAUAUAUAAUAUAUAUUUUUAUUAUUUAAUUUUUAGCAAAAGAAAAAUAUAAAUGCGAGCUUAAUUAUAAAAAGACUCAUUUGUAUGUAAAGUUUCAACUAUUAGAUUAAAGUCUAAUGAAUAAAAUUUUAUAAAUUUAAUUUUUUUAUAUAUAUUCAAUCUAAUUCUUUUUAACUUAUUGUUUGUUGGUCAGCUCGUGAGCCAGUUCGUAUUCGGCUCGUUUAUUAACGAGUGGAACACGAGCUGAAUUUUUGGCUCGAUCCUUUAACGAGCCAACUCGUGUUCGGCUCGUUUAUUAAACGAGCUGAAUAUGAGCCGGCCCUAGCUCGCUCGUGUUCGGCUCUUUUACACCCCUACUCCAUGCAGGAAUACUGGUUUCAGCUCUGCCUUUUCAUUAUUUUUGGGUCAUGCAUGUUUCAGCAUCAAUAACUUUUAAUACUCUUUUGCUUCACCAGAGAGACAAAAUAAAAUAAUGAGGCUCAAAAACAAGAACCUAAACCUUAUGCUAUCAAAAAUAUUAAAGUUAUUUUAUAAUUGUAUUUUGCUUUUUUUUUUAACAAUACAAUUGAGAAAUAGUUUUUAAAUAAAAUUAUAGCAGCUCUUUCUCUCUUGAUACAAUUUUAUUUGACGCUUUAAUAGUUCCACAUCAGAUAACAUGAAUAUGUGUGAGAAAUUUAUGUGUAGCUGUAUAGCAUAUUAUUAGCUAAUAACUGAAUUUAAAUAUUUUGUAUUAAUAUUUUAGACUCGACAAGUUAUCAGUGUUGGUGGACAGAGUCAUCACAUGCAGUCUCUCUCUCUCUCUCUCUCUCUCUCUCUGUGUUUGGUUGCUGUAUCCACAUCAGCAAAAACUGACAAUCAAUCUUAGUUGCCAAGGGGAUAGGAAAGGACAACAAGUGAUGAAGACUUACACAUGUACAAAGACCAAACCCUAGCUUAGUGGCUGCUUCCCUUUGGACCAGUUUCUAGGAAAAAGAGGAGGUAGUUGGAAUGUUGAUCUUGAACUCUGUAGGCACUUUUAAUGGGGCUCCUCAAUUCACAAACCAUGUGUUCCACAUGGAAAGAGAAUCAAUUGGGCCCUCAACUUUAGACCAAGUGAUCAAAAAGGGUCCCAGUAAGGAAAUACUUUAGAUUCUUUUUAGAUGAAUAUCUUAUAUAUGCUACUGAUAUAGUCACAAUUGAUAUUGCAUGAGUUAAUCAAUUAAAUUUCUUUACAUUAUAGUACCAGCACAUUAGCAUUAUUAAUAUAUAAAGAUAAUAUUUGAUAAUUUUGUAGCAGUACCUCGCAAUAUAGAGUUUCUAUGUGAUCUGAUAAUGUACUGAUUAAUUUAUAUAAUAUUUUAAAGGCCAAUUUGUAUAAAAAAAUCCACUAAUUUUAUGUUUUUGCAAAAGUGGGCCACCUUUUUAGUUUUUGCAGAUUCGGACCGAAUUUUUAGAAGGAUGACCAAACAACUCUUCUGUCAAAAUGCAUAAAAAUUAUAUGCUUUAAACGCCUAGAAAAAUACAACUGUUAAGUCACUAAGUGUAAAACUUCUUGAAAUGACAACUGCUAAGCCAUAAUUAUAUGUACCUUUCUCGUGAAACGAAAAACCUCAUUCAAGACAAAAUAAAAAAAUAAAGAAUAAUUAGUAAGAUGAAAGAGUGCAACAUCCUCUCAAAUAGUGCAACAAACUCAUCAAAAUAGUGCAAUAUCUGUAUAAGUAGUGCAACAUAUGCAUUGUUAAUACAUAUUUUGCAUGAUUUUUACACUAAAUUACGCACAGUUUAGUAUAUUACGCGAAAAUAAUAUAUUAUAUUACAACAUACUAUAAAAAUUAUACAAUAUAUGUAUAAACGGUGNNNNNNNNNCCAAAUCAAUUGAAUUUUUGUUUGAAAAUUCUUUAAACUAUUUAAAACAAGAUCUAUACCCUUGAUCUUUAUUACAAGACUCCUAUCAUUAUUUUUUAAAGAAUAUUCAUUUUCAGCCGUUCAUUUUUGUGUCACUUGAUGGAUAAGAAAAUAAUAUCGGAAAUGUAUGAAAUUUGAUUUCUAAACAUUUCAAGUGGUAUAGAUCACGUUCAACAGUGCGGAUCGUCGAUUUAUAGGCUCCAUUAUUGAAAAUAAAUGGAUGGCAAUGGAGCUCGUUUGCUANUUUUAAAUAUUUUUUAAUGUGUUUUUCAUAUUAUUAAGUCUAAUCAAAUAUGGUUAUAUAUUUUUUUCUUAUUUACAUUUUUAUUUAUUUAUUUAAUUUGUAAAUUUUUAUUAAAAUAUUUUUUUUUCGCUGUAUCGCGCGGGUCACUACACUAGUAUAUAUUUAUAUUUCAAAUCAUCAUUAAAAAAUAUGAAAAAUCUAAAAAAAUGAGAGCUUGCCAUGUCAUCUUUCUUAUUGGGGAUUCAUAUAUGUUACAGGUCAUUGAUGACGUUAUAUUAAUACAAUUCUUAUCAGUAAGAUUUAUUUUAGGGGCUUUUGUUCAAAAUUUCUAAAUUGACUCUGCUAUUUUCCAAAUAUUUUUCUAAACUUCAAAUUUUAUUAAUAAACUCUCAGGUUCGGAGUAUAUUUUAAAAAAAAAUUAUAAAUCAUGGCAUUUUAAUUUAUCAAAAAUAUAUUAAAUAUUUUUAAAGUUUUGAAAGAUAUAUUACAUAUUAUCCUUUUAUUUUUUAUAGAAAUAACAAUAUUUAAUCAAUGAUUCAUAUUGCACAAAAGUAUAUAAACAAUUUUAGAAACAACACAUUAAUUUUAAUAUAAAAUCAUCGAAUCAUCCUUACGGCCGCGUUUGGUUCUUCGAAAAAUAAUAGAGGACUAUUUUUGAAAACAAAAUUCAUAAAAAAUAAAAUUUUUAGCUUGCAGCUUUAUUUUUAUUUUCAAAAAAAGAAGACAUGGAAAACGAAAGAAAAGGACUUUCUUGUGAAAUUAUUUUUUUAAAAAAAUAUUCUUUCUAAAAAUAAAUAUAUAUAUAUAUUUUUAAUUAAAAACUAACUAUAGUAUCGAUAGUAUCAAACUCUUGGUAUUAUCGAAUUUUCUGUUGUUAGAUCUACCUUUUAAUUAUCCUUUUAUCCAACGGCCGAAAACUCGAUAGUAUCAAACACUUUGUACUAUCGAUAGUAUAGUAGUAUAAUUCUCUCUCUCUCUCUCUCUCUCUCUCUCUCUCUCUCUGCUCUCUCUCUCUCUCUCUCUCUCUAUAUAUUAUAUAUAUAUAUAAACAAUUAUUAUAUGAUUGAGAAAGACUAUUGUCCAUUAAAAGCAUAGAGUUCCUUAUACUCCCCUAACUUUCUAAACCAUUCAUCAUUUUGAUAAAUGGUUAGAUGAAGAGGAAGAUAAAUUGAGAAGAAUAGGAUAUCUUAAUUUUUUUUCUUUUUGAAUAUCUCCCUACUUUUCUUCUGUCUCUCAUCUAACCAUCCAUCAAUUGAUUAGAAAAAGUAGGAGUUAUAAGGGUUCGUGUACUCCUAAUAACACAAUAGCAGAAGAGAGAGAGAGAAUCCGACUAUGGCUGCUUAUAAAGCUUCAAGCAAUUCGGUGCUUGAAAUUUUUACCGUUGAGAUCAUAUCUGCUUUGCAUCAUUUAUCAUGCCGUUGUAAAUCAUACUCUAUUCAACCAACACUUUCACUCAACCCUAAGGAUCACAUCAUUCCUAACAGCACAUUCUUAAUACAAGUGGCCAAAAUCCUACAAGCACCAUAACUUGUACUUUUAAAAAUAUAGUAAGCUCAAUUAUAUAUAUAUAUAAUAUAUAUAUAAAAAACUAGGCUAGAAUACUAUCAUAGCACCAAGUAUUGUCUAUUAGUUUUUUAGCGCAUGGAUUGUGAAUGUGCGGGUUAGAAUGAUGGGCUUGCCCGCCUUGGGUUGGUGGGUGGUUGUGUGAAUAGUAUCAUCAAACGAGGUAAAAAAAUCAAGAAUUAAAUCUACGGUGGAAAAUUUCGGGAUAAGUAUUGCAGCCGGACACUCUCUUCUCUCUCUCUCUCUCUCUCUCUCUCUCUCUCUCUCGCUUCUUCUCUCUCCUACAUAUAUAUUAUAUAUAUAUAUAUAAGAGAGAGAGAGAGAGAGAAUUAGGCUGGAAUACUAUUAACAGCACUAAGUUGUUGGUGCUAUUAGUUUUUUAGCCUUUGGAUUAAGAAAUGUGCUGUUAGAAUGAUGUGGGCCCCCUACGGUUGAGUGGGCAGUUGGUUGAAUAGUAUAAUCUAACGGAUAAAAAUAAUCAAAGGAAUUAAUCUAACGGCAGAAAACUUGAUAGCACCAAAUAUUUGGUGCUAUCGAUAGCAUAGCAGCCGAACUCUAUAUAUAUAUAUAUAGUGUGUGUGUGCGCGAAAAGUCAUUGCAAAAGUUAUAAAAUUUAUUUUUAAUAAUAAAUGUUAAAGCAAUGCAAGUGUAUAUCGAUCAUAUAGAUGUAAAUUUUACGCUCUAGUUUUUGAAAAGUUAGGGUUAUUCAUUUAUCAUAUAAUAAAAUUUUUUAAAUAUUGAAACACUAAUUUAAAAGAAUUUUAUAAAUUCUUGGAUCUACCGGACGUAAGAUAUACAUUCCAGUAUAGAAUGAACACGUAGUAUUUUUCUAAAAACACAAUUUUUUAUAUACCCCUCACUAUUAUUCAAUUUUUUGAAAUUCACACUUUGUUUUCUAAAAUACCCUCUGAAAAUCCUAAUCUUCUCAAUAAAUCCCUAAGGGCAUGUUUUAGGGGCAAAUUUGAAAAUAAAAAAAGUAAUUUUAAAAAUCUGAAAUAAAUUAGAUACUUUUUAAGGUUUGGAAAUGUAUAUUAGGUAGGUAUUAUCCCUUUUCUAAAAGUCAUCGAGUAUGAUUGAAGCGUAAGACAUGACGCCAAAAACAAAGAAAUUUCCUUAAUUAAUUAAUUAAUUAGCCUAUGUUCCUGCUAUAUAUAUAUAUUGGUGGCAAACUAGAGUUCCCACAUUGAGUCCCAUUUGGAACCUGAAGCUAUCACAAUAGUACUCUCUCUUAAACCUUCUCUUGAUUACAACAUCUACAGAUAUGGCAUCAAAAACUAAGGAAGAUCAGAUCCCCAGUCCCAACAGGUAACAUUCACAAACUCUAAUGUUCUGUCUAAACACACGAAAUAUCUUAUUCGAUGUAUUCUUUUUCUUUAUUCAAUGUAUCCUUUUUCUUUAUUCAAAAAGCUUUCACUGUCGAGCUGGGUGAUAUCUCCAUCUUUUUAAUAUUCGAUUUGACGCUAUGAUCGUUUUUAACCUUUUUAUUACUCUUCUUUUAUCUUUAUUUUUAGUUUUUUUUUUUCUUUUGAUUUUUUCCUUCUCUUGAGGCCCUUGCUAGCUCACUCUGUGUAGUUAAAUUCAUUACUUGAAUAAAUGAAGCAAGUAGAGUGCUAUUUUUUUAUCAAACAAAAAAAAACGCUUUUAGUAUUCUUAGACAAGAAACUUGAUUAAAUAUUUAAUAAGACACAUUACAUUCAGCCUCCAAGAUACUUUUCUAAACUAAAGUAAUCAGCUUGCAGGUAAAAUACAGUAUCAUAUAACAAAUUAUGGCCACCAAAAUCUUGCAAGAGCUAAAAUGAAAAAUCUCAUAGGCCUCGUUUUUGAAUGAGUAAACAUUGUGUUUCGUUCACCGUAUCUCUUAUUUAUUUGAGAAGCUGAAAUAUUUGGUAAAUGAGGGAUCUAGAUAUUUAGUGUCCGGAAAGGCAUAUAAAAUUCAACUUUUGAGUCAUUGUUUUAAAAUAAAAUAAAUUAUCUCGUAAGCAAAAUAUAUUAUCCUAUUGAAUCAUGGAUGAAAAAAAUCAAACUCCUAAUCUAUUAUCACACAAGGCAAUUUUCAUAGCGCAUAAACUAUCAGUGAAUAGUUUGUUCUGGUAUCCGAACAAGGUGAUAACAUACAAAUUGUUACUGAACGACUUGUUUUGAUAUCCAAAUAUAUCCUAGGCAACUCUGUAGUCUUGUUACACAAAUUUGUUCUUUACAAAAGUUGUUUUAUUUAAUUUUAUUUUCUUUUCUCUUUUAGGAUUGCCGUGGUAACAGGAGGGAACAAAGGAAUUGGAUUGGAGAUAUGCAGGCAGUUGGCUUCUAAUGGAGUCAGAGUCAUACUAACUGCUAGAGAUGAGAAGAGGGGUUUGGAAGCAGUAGAAAAGCUCAAACAAUCCGGGCUUUCCGAUGUAAUCUUCCACCGAUUAGAUGUGACCGAUCAUUCCAGCAUUGAUUCAUUAUCGGAGUUCAUCAAAAGCACUUUCGGAAAGCUCGACAUUUUGGUACAUACAUGAUCAUUCUAAGUUGAAAUCAUUAUUACAUACCAGUGUCACUCUUUUAUGAAGUUGUUGUUUUUGUUUCUUAUAAAGGCCAUUCUUUUGUUACAAACCUAAUGAGCACGUUUGCAUGUUUUCUUAUAAUUUUUAUGAUUCUCUAAUUAUAUAUAUAUAUAUAUAUAUAUAUAUAUAUAUUGAUUUGUUUCAGGUGAACAAUGCUGCAAUAGCAGGAGCCACAACAGACUAUGAGGUGCUUAGGUCUAGUAUUGUUAAUAGCAAGGUAAAAUUUUAUCUUAAACUACUUAAGUUCAAGAGCCAUGCACAGUCGAUAGCGUAGAUUUCCAGUUGAAAGAUCUAACAAUGUGUCCAAAUGGUUAGAUUUAAUGCUUACUGUUCUCUUGUUAUAUCAGUGUAUUUCAAUUUUGUAUCUCUUUCGGACGUCGCGCAUUUUGUUGCAUCACUAAACGUAGCUGAAAUUCGUGGAUCGACGUCAGAGCCUGAAGAGUGAAUUUAUGAAACAUUAAUUGGCGCGAAUUACAUCAAUUAUGUUAGUGAUGGAGUUAGCGAGAACACGUGAUUUCUUGUUAUCUACUACUAAUUUCGUUCUUCUCGUGAACUAGACGGGAGGAAUACCCAACAUCACGACUCAAGAGACCUACAAAUGGGCAGAAGAAUGUAUGGACACGAACUAUUACGGAGUUAAGAGAGUAACAGAGACAUUAAUCCCUCGUCUUCUAUCAUCCGAGUCACCGAGGAUCGUCAAUGUUUCAUCUCAUUUUGGGAAGUUACAGGUAUGAAUCAACUCAAAAUAAUUUUCAGCAAUACUGACAUUUAGAAGUNUAUAUAUAUAUAUAUAUAUAUAUAUAUAUAUAUAUAUUGAUUUGUUUCAGGUGAACAAUGCUGCAAUAGCAGGAGCCACAACAGACUUUGAGAUGCUUAGGUCUUGUAUUGUUAAUAGCAAGGUAAAAUUUUAUCUUAAACUACUUAAGUUCAAGAAACAUGACAAAUAUAGAGGGUGAGUACAUGCGAGAUUUGAAUAUGCACCCUUUUCGCCAUGCACCGUCGAUAGCGUAGAUUUCGAGUUGAAAGAUCUAACAAUGUGUCCAAAUGGUUAGAUUUAAUGCUUACUGCUCUCUUGUUAUAUCAGUGUAUUUCAAUUUUGUAUCUCUUUCGGAAGUCGCGCAUUUUGUUGUAUUACUAAAUGUAGCUGAAAUUCGUGGAUCGACGUCAGAGCCUGAAGAGUGAAUUUAUGAUUUUCUGUUAAACAUUAAUUGGCGCGAAUUACAUCAAUUAUGUUAGUGGAGUUAGCGAGAACACGUGAUUUCUUGUUAUCUACUACUAAUUUCAUUCUUCUCGUGAACUAGACGAGAGAAAUACCCAACAUCCCGACUCAAGAGACCUACAAAUGGGCAGAAGAAUGUUUGGACACGAACUAUUACGGAGUUAAGAGAGUAACAGAGGCAUUAAUCCCUCGUCUUUUAUCAUCCGAGUCACCGAGGAUCGUCAAUGUUUCAUCUUAUUUUGGGAAGUUACAGGUACGAAUCAACUCAAAGUAAUUUUCAGCAAUACUGACAUUUAGAAGUACCAAUUUCAUUAAGUUCUUGUGGAUAUUAAGAUAAAUUUGAAUAUUUUCAAUUAUUAUUUUGUACUUUUAUCUGAAUGUUCUGCUCUAUUGUAACAACUGUUUAUAUUCUGAUGAUGUUUUUCACUACUAUUAUAACCUGGUUCUUCUUGUAAUUGUUUCAGUUCAUUCCCAAUGAGAGCGUCCGGAAAGAAAUGGAUGACGUAGAUCGCUUAACCGAGGAGAAAAACGAUGAGAUGGUUCGAUCCUUCCUAAAUGAUUUCAAGGUAGGAGACUUGACGAAAAAUAACUGGCCAACUACCUACUCGUCUUAUAUCAUGUCUAAGGCGGCAAUGGGUGCAUAUACGAGGAUUAUUGCGAAGAAAUAUCCCGCAAUCUGUGCAAACUGUGUACAUCCAGGCUAUGUGAAAACGGACAUCAAUGGAAAUACGGGUACUAUGCCCGUCGAAGAAGGCGCUAAGGGACCUGUAAUGGCGGCUUUGCUUCCGCAUGGUAGUCCUUCAGGGCUCUUUUAUGAUAAGACCGAAGUAUCGUCCUUUAUGUAAUGUUACAAUAUACUUCGUCGUGAUAAUAACUUGUUUUUCUCUUCGUGAACUAGUUGGUAGAGAUAAUAAUACUUGUACAAGUUGAAAUUUGUACGAACUUGACGUAUACCGUACCUGUGGUUUCCUUUGGUGUUUGCUAUCUAUAUUUGCUUUGUAGAAUUGAAAGAAUGAACAUUAUGAAGCAAGUAACAGUGAGGUGAAAAUUAGUCGCAGGAACGCAAUCCUGUGUUAUUUGUUGCCUCAAUUAAAGGUCCAUGAGCCAUCUUUUCUCUCAUAAACUCAAAUUCUUAAGCUUUAACAUGAUUAAGAAUGCGUCGCGAGCAACAUUGCCAACUUUAUUGUUGCACUAAUGUGUGAAUGAUAGUUAGUUAUUUAUUUCCCUUGAUAUAAAUCUCACUUUUGUUGAAGCAAAGAAUCAGCAAAAGGCUGGAGAAGCCAAUGAUUACAUAGGCAAAAGAAAAGGUAAGGUAAAAAAUUUGAAGGGAGAAAAAAAGUCUGAGCAUAACCAUAGGCCUUUUUAUGACUCUUCCUGGUCCGGUGAGGGGUCUUCCGGUGCAGGAUCUGCUUCAGCCCCCUCUGCGUCAGGCGCCGCGGCCUCGGUUGAGCUCUUCUUAGUGGAAGCAGUCUUGAUCAAGUGGUUGUAGCUCCCUUUCUCCUUGAACAGCUGAGCAAAAUGGUGCUUGCAGUAGAGAAUGCCAUCGAGAGCGGCGUAGGAAGAAGUCGUGAGCUGGCAGCCGCCGUGCGAGCACUUGAAGCAGGUCUUGUGGUAUGACUCACCCUCCACAGUCAGCUAAAAAAGAAGAAGAGCUAAGAUUAUUUCUUAUUAUUGGUAUAGGAUGAUAACAGACACUUUUUAUUUGUGUACCUUCUCCAAGGGGUAUACUGUUUUCUUGCAGGUUGCACACUUAUCUUGAGUGCCAGAGAACAUGGAAGAUAGCUUGCUCGGAGUCCUCGACUGCUUAAGAUCGCGAUAAUAUGAGAAUAGAUAGCAAUUAUAUAUUUCACCUACGGAAAUAAUAUAUCAAAGCUAGUUAAAAAGGUGUGGCAGAUAGAAGGUUGAAUGUACCAGUUCAUUUUGCUUGUCAGCAGACUUUCCACCUGAAUCAAAGAACCAAUUUGAAGGCAUAAGCUCUUGAGAUUUGAAAGAUUAAAAAAAAAAAAAUCAGAAAAUAGUUUGAAUUUAAUGAAAUUCACCUGCUGGAAAUUUCUUAGAGAAGGAACCUGUUUCCUUGAAAAGCUGCUCAAAGUGGGGCUUGCAGUAGAGGACACCAUCCAUUGAAGAGUAGCUACACAUCUGGAGAUAAAACAUGAAUAAAAGUAACUCACUAUUCUUUUUUCCUUUUUUUUUUUUGACAUGUUCGCAGUUAUUACUAGAAUCUAAGAUGUCGCAAUCGAAAGUAUACAAAACUGCAAAAAAAAAAAAAAAAAAAAAAAAAAACAUUGCGGAUACGCACGGAAAGAGUUCCUUUGCAGUGGCUGCACUUGAAGCAGGUCUUGUGGUACGGGAUCCCGUCGGCCGACAGGAGAUCAAUGAAAUGCACCGUCUUGUCGCACGCCUUGCAUUUGUCCUGCGUACCGCUGAACGACAUGAUGGCGACUCAACCAACAACAACACUCCUGAUCUUCUCAACACAACAAACAAGCCAACAGGAUCAAGGUCGGAGCCUCAAAAUCCGAAUCCCUGAUGUUGCUGCAGCUGUUUUGCAGUGCUCUAUCAGCAUAAGAGCUUGUGCAUAAAUAGAAGGAUUGAUUGCCUCUCUCUGUCCAAAAUGCGUUUAACAGCAGAUAUAAGGGAAGAGAGGGGAGGAAAAGGAAAUGCAAAGGUGAAGACUUUAAAGCAUGAGGCCCAAAAACUAUGAGGUGGUGAGGGAGAGGUGGGGGUUGGGGAGGAAAGAUAGGAGAUGCAUGAGCUCUCUUAACCGCAAAGACCAAGUCAAGCAGGUGGAAGGGUAAGGAGUGGUUUUUGCAAAUCCUACUUGUUUUAGGAAUUUGCUGCUGCAUGAACCCAGGUUACCAUGUUCGCCGCGGACCACACCAAUCAGAAGAUAAUCUAUACCUCGAAAUGAGGAGAACUUUUACCUGCGCCUGGUCUGCCAUGUGAGCCGCGCGCCUUACACUAGUUGUCACUUAACAUCUACUCUUUCAUUAUAUUCAGAUUGCACAUUGUUGAAACAAUCUUCAUUUGCGACACUUUAUACGAUUAAUACAGCUAAUACAAAGAGCGAAAAUCAUAGUUACAAAUAAUUGUCCUGCAAAUUCUGAAUCUUUGGCAUAGUUUUGUUGCUUUUUUACUUCCAAACUUCUAUUUGACAGUCAAAUCUGUAUCUGUGGUUGUGAUGACUCUCAGAAAAAUUACUUGCACAAUUUUUCAUCAUGUAGACUGAAGAUAGAGACAAAACACACAAAAACAUGCACUGGCGCACAAGCACAUACUCAUAGAGAGGAAAUCAUUCCUCUCUCCAGUAUCAUCGGCAUCAUCCUACCAAUUUCAUCUUGAAUAAUCUGUUUCUUUUAUCUGAUCAAACAACAAUCUGAUCUCAUUCAAGGGCUCACCGACGGCUGAUCUGGUCGGAGAGAGCUUUAGUUGUCGCAUACUGAAUAAUACUUGCACGGUGCACCAAAUGCGCAGAUCACUGUGUAAGCAUGCCUGUGCUAGAAUAUAGUGCUCAGAUCACUUCCUCUGCUUGAGAAUUGGAAAGGUUCAAAAGAAUAUCAUGCUUGCUAUGUUUAUGAUUCAACAGACACAAUCACAUCAACAGAAGGAGAAAAAGGGAAGGGCAAGCACAUGCGCAUGGAUAAGCCAUCCAUAUUAUUAAAAAAUUCAUAACACAUCAUAAUGUUAUGUCGAAUUACAUGGCCUACCUUCUAAUAUCUACAUAACCUUCUGUUUAUUCCGGGCAUAUGUUGAAAGCAUAGCCGGGCAUAGAAACCAUGCAUAAUCAAGGAGGCAAAACAACUUCUUGGCUUAAGAUAAGAUCAGACACGGUCUUCCCGUGCCGAUCUAUUCUUCUAGAACAAUUAACUCCUCCGUCCAGAAUAUUCUGGACCACAACAUUUAGAGAGUGGAUGCCCGGAGCUUCGUAGAUCUCCACCCUCACCUGCUUGAGGCGAUCUUCACUUUGCUGAAUUUUAUGUUCAGAAAACAGAGAAGCAUCGAGGAGAGCCGAAACAACAUUCUGCACCCAAUCUGGUGUGACCACCUUUUUAAGCCUCUCAAGAUCAGUAGGAAAGUGAGGAAUUAAAGAAAAGUUCAAGUCAUUUCCUUUGUCGCCAGUCCUACUAUGGGCUACUUGAUAGAGAGCAAUCCUCUUGUUUGCUGGGGCAGCAGCAGAUGCUACUGGCGGAAGCACUUUUCUGUAUAGAUGAUUGCCCCCUGGAGUAGAUGAUUUGCUAUCUUGUUCCAUGAUGAGGAUUUGAACUCUAGUCUCAUCCACGUCAUUGUGGUUUUGCUGAUCCAGAAUGUUUGUCCGUUUCAUAUUCGCUCGCCAGAAAACAUUUUCCCUAUCGACCUAGGCAUAAUAAAAGCAUUUGGAUAUGAUUAGUCUCUGUUGAUUAGCAUUAAGAAACAAAGAUCAUUUACCAAUAAUGAGAUUGAAAAGGCAUUGUACUUCAAUGAUCCUAGAAUAUUAAUCAGAAUUAUCAAACUAUUAUACUGCUAUCUCCAGGUAUUCUAUGUAUCGCAAGGAAAAAAGCAUCACUGCGGCAUAACAUGAAAACUCUACAAUCAUUCGAGACAAAAAGGCAAAACCUAUUAUGUUUUAAAUCCAUACUGAUGUUAGAAAAGCGCACAAUUUCAUUAUGUUCUGUCAAUCAAGAAAUCAUGCCUGAACCAGAAAAAAAUCAGAUGAAAAUUUUAUCACAUAAACAAGUUGUCUCUAGUGAAGAGGCAGUGACAAACGGUAGACAUUUUCCUCAUACUAAUAGUUUCUAAAUCACUUGCCAGGAGAACAAAUGAGAUACUUCUUUUUCAGUCAAAAUGAUUACCAUACCAGUUCUUUUUGAAGAAUCGUCUCUUUCUUGUGUUCGGUGCUGCAUUUAGGGGAAAAAGAACUCAGAAAUACUAUUAACCGGCAAUUAAAAGAAAUGAACAGAAUUCAGCCAGUAUGUUAGAGCAAUUCAAUCAUAAGUUCCAUGCAUUCCAUUUACACAAAAAUGGACGAGGGGCACUCAGUAAUCUCUACCUAAUACCGCCACCACCAGCUGGUCCAUUUGUGUAGAGAGCUAUGAACUCUUCGGUAAAGCGAAUAGCAUGCUCCUCGAGCUCAAACAAACCAUCCAUUCUAAGUCUAACAUCCAAAACUUCUUCUGUUGAUGAAGUGUCUUUAUCAAUCUUUCCAGUUUUCAGGCUGUCAUAUCCAACAACGUAAGAGAUCAUAUGAUCUUUAACUCCUGGUACUGCUUCUUCCAUCCAUGAUCUAACCUAAAAGGAACAUAGGCAUGUAUUACCUUACCUUAUAGGUGGAUUACUAAAAUGAUAACUUAUAAGCGCAAUAUUUAGCUUUGCCCAUACUCUGCGUCUCUGAAGGCUAUGCAUGAUAGGGAGAUGAUGCAAAGGAAGUCACAAAACAAAUGCUCAUCUUCAGAACAAUUAAACGGAAUAAGAUAAUGCUAAGAACAAUAGCUUAUUCAAGUUUAUGAUGAGCUCACGCACCAGAUAUUCUGCAGCUUGAGCACGCCUUACGCAUCCAGGUCCUCCAUAGGAGAUCUCUCCCCAACCUUUCCAUCCACAAUCCUGAAGGACAUUUUACAACUAUAUUGUCAUGAAGUUUCAAAAGCCAGGUACUGUGGCAUUACAUCAUAAUAAACUUCAGAGGUCAAUAUUUUCAAAUGAUAUCUUAGUGAAAGAAAAUGUGCAGUGUAAUGUAUCUGAUUCAUUAAGAUUUCAGAUAAAUAAAAUUCAGAGGAUUUGGACAUCUUUGAAAGUCAACAAUGAGCUGAUGAGGAUGUUAGAUCCAACAAAAAAAAAGAAAAGAAAAAAAGAUCCAUAUUGUCAAUGUUAGAAAUGACAACCUGGGUGAAUCUUUCAAGCAGAAAGAAUGGACAAAAUCCUAUUAACAAACAUAAUUUGUACUUACUUCCUCUCCAAAAUUAUACUUGCACUUUCAAUUUCCCAUACCGUCAGCUAGAGUUUAUCAAAGAAUCAACAGUACAAUUUCGCCAAGCAAUUAUGGCUAACAAAAUUUCCAGACGAUCUAAAUACCUUAGUUAAUGAUUGCUUUCUUUCAUGUCAUCCCACAAUUGGGUUCAAACACCUGAAUUUAGUGUACCAUUUUUAGAAGUAAACCAAGCAAUAUUUCUUGUAGUUAUCACAUAUUAAACUUUGUGAUAUCUCUCCACAUUCUAAUACGCUUAUUGUUGUUCUCUAGUAUAAAUAUUUUCCCAAUAAAACUUCUAAUAAAUAUGAAUCACAAGUUAACUGAAAAAGGUACCUCUAUCACAGAAAAGAAGUAUCAUCACAGCGAUAACAUAACAUCAAUUGUUAUUUACUAUUCAUUACAAUUAUAAAGCAUGGCGUACCAUUGGAACUAACUGCAGAAGUUUUUCAGGGAAAAGUACACUUGACGGCUUUGCCCCAAUGCACACAACUCUGUCAUUUGAUAUUGGGCGGAAGUUCACAUUACUCAAAUCUAUAGCCUGAUUAAGAACAUUUUAGUAGCAAUUCUAACUACAAGAUUCAACUAAAGAGAAAAAUUGGCAUUUGACCUCACCAAAUCAGGAGUAAUGUACCGUCCAGGAUCUCCAACUUCAUACAGAAGCUGCUCUGCACAAGUGCUGAAGUUUAAAACACCUCCACUCCCAUCUGCUUUUGCUACAUAUACUUCCCCCUUGAAGCUUACUUCAGCAAAUGGGAGAGAUAAAUCUAGAAGCUGUUCAAAAGGAAAAUCACGGUGCGUAUCUCCUGCUUAUUUUUGAAUACAUAGAUUGCACUAUUAGCAUUGCACCAUUAGCACACUGUAGAAAGAUAAAUAUACGUAGAGGAAGUAAAUAUUUGUCUUAGUUACACCAUUUGUACCUGGAUGCAUGAAGUAUCCUCCUGUAAGUUGACAACCACACUCUAAAAGAUGACCAGCUAAAGAGCCUUGGGCCAGUUGUUCAUAGUCAUUCCAGUUCCAACCUAAUUCGUAGACCUUGUUAUGACAAAUAACAUGAGUAUUUCACUGACUAGUAUGUGUUUAUUAGUAACUUAGGUUUACAUACUUUAGCCCAGGUAAUCAAAGGCCCAUUACAUCAAGUUGCCACCACUGGUGGACUAGACUUGUAAGCACCCCUAACAUUUUCUUAUGCAGCACAAUUCGGGCAUGACGCAAGAAGAAGAGAUAUGGAACUCCUGAGAUAAGAUGUCAUGUCCCUUUCAAAAGCACGACCAAGUAGCAAUACAAAACGCUACAUUUCUCACUGCCAUUAAUUAUCUAUGAUAUGUAGAGGCUUCUAGAUGAAUAGAAAACAGUGAAAUCAUCAUGCAAAAGUAUCCAGAAAAACUGAUCCCAGAAAAUAAAAUAAAAUAAAGUAGUGCCAUCAACUUCCAGAUUUAACACAGGAAAUGGCUUUAUUUCUAUCAAAAGUUUGCAAACAAUUCAUCUACAUAAUUUACAAUACAACAAACAAGGAAAAGAAAAAUUUAACAGCUGAAAAAUAUAAAAUAUGUACAAGCUUAAGAAUUGAUAUGAUUAACUUACCAUUGGAGCUAGGAAGAGUGCAGCAUCAGCAACUCGGGAGGUGAUGACUACAUGUGGUUUGUACUUCUCUAGGCAAUAAGCAAUAGGAGCUGCUCCCAGGUAGGUACUCUUGCCCUUCGCAUAAAAGAAGAUGAAACAUAAGGGCAAUGGUUGCCGAAAAAAUUGACACGGCAUAUUCUGCUUGAAAAUAUUCACUAAUGAUGUCUAGCAGCCUAGCAGUGUUAUCGCUGAUCGACUAAAGCAUAAACAAAUAUUGCCAUAACUUGAAAAAUAAAUCAUACAUUAAGGAGAUCAGGAUUUACCUCUCUUAAUUUUGUAGAUCCUUCAGAUGACUGAGGAUAUUCUGCAAAAAUAGAAAAUCCGGUUAAAGCAGUCACAGGAAAAAUCACUUGACUCCUCGAAUAAUAAAAUUCAGAUGCAAAGAGCUGUCCAACAAAAAAUUGGAAUGAGAGAGAGAGAGAGAGAGAAAGUAGCUUUGAGCUACUUUCUAUCGAUGUUUUCUGUUUGCUUAAAGGGACCAGCGUCCUGGCUUGCUACCGAAGGCCAAGUUGAGCCGAGUCACGUUCGAAAUAGCGGGAGGCCGGGUUGGGCUGAGUUAUGUUCAAAGUGACGUGAGGCUGGUGGGGCCGAGUCGCAAUCGAGAACCAUGGGUGCUGUGUCUGUACGCUUUAAGUGAAUUUGAUUGCAUAUUUUUAAUAGCUCGAGCUUUUGAGAGUAAUGACUAGCGCCAACGAUCCGACAUUUUCUUGUUUGAAAGUCUUACCAGAUUUUGCAAGAGGAACUUCAUGAGCUACCGAGACAGUUAUUUCGAGUCCUAGAUUGCACGCAACAUCUAGCACUUCUUUCUGCGCACCGAGCGGGUCCACUUUCAAUCAAGAGUGCAUACAGGGAAAAAGAAAUAUCGAUCAGAAAACAAUGGCUUCUGGAACAAAACAAUCAAAAUCGAGAAGAUUAUUACCUGCACCCAUAUUGGUAAUUAUACAGACUCCUCGCUCCACCGCCAAAGGUAGAAGCAGUGUCAUCCACUCACUUACUGCAAAGUUACAUAAUUCACAGCAUAAGUAUAGAUGGAACUAGCAUCAGAAAUGAUCCGAACAAUAACUAAUGAUAUAUUUCAAUGAACCCCGAUAAACCAAGCUUUAUAUUAAGUAUGUAUAUGUCUGCAAAUAAAUUUGCAACAUAAAAAGCGUCAAUUGAUCAAUGAAAAACUUUUAACAUGCAAAAAUAUUAAGAAUUUAAUUGAUCAAGUCAUAAAAUGAGUGAAACGGCGUACUUCGAGGGUCGAACCCUUUUCCGCCGGACAUCAUUACUUUGUACCGAUCGGCCAGCGUCCGCUCGGCCAGGCAUUCAAGAACAAGGUAGUCGAGUUCUUUGACUCUUUGAAGCAAUUUAAGCGCCGCCGAAGGCCGAUCCCCGCCGAAUCCUGCUCCGCAACCAACAUAAACCCUAUCCUUGUGCCUCUGAGGAUCAUUUCUCUACCAAAUUAAAAAGAUAACAAUAACAAUAAGUGAUUAAAUUAGGGUUUUUCUUGUUUCAAUCAGAAGCAGAACACAAUUAGCAACAUAGAGAGAGCAUCAUGCUUACCAGUUUGAUCUCGCAAUUGAAGAGCUCGUCUUUAUCCAUUCGAUCUUACAGCUCACAAUACACAAAAGAUUCGUAGUAAAGACCCACCAACAACAGAUAUUUAACAAAAAAAAAAAAUUUAAAAAACUAAUGUCUCAAAGAGUAGUUCAUUGUAGUUGAAUAAAUGAUGAUGAUGACGAUGAUAAUAAUAAUAAUAAUAAUAAGGGAAAACUUCAAAAACCUCCCUGUGGUUUCGCACUUUUUUAUUUUAAACCACAGGAUACUAAAAUAAAAAAGUGAGAAACCACAGGGAGGUUUUUGAAGUUUUCCCUAAUAAUAAUAAUAAUAAUAAGGGAAAACUUCAAAAACCUCCCUGUGGUUUCGCACUUUUUUAUUUUAGUAUCCUGUGGUUUGAAGUGUAUCAAAUUAGUACCCUGUGGUUUCUCACUUUAUCACUUUAGUACCUUGUGAUUUAAAAAACUAUAGGGUACUAACUUGAUACAAAAUUAAAACCACAGGAUACUAAAGUGAUAAAGUGCAAAACCACAGGGUACUAACUUGAUACACUUUAAACCACAGGGUACUUAAGUGAUAAAGUGAGAAACCACGGAGUACUAACUUGAUACAUUUUAAACCACAGGGUACUAAAGUGAAAAAGUGUGAAACCACAAGGGGGGUUUUUGAAGUUUUCCCUAAUAAUAAUAAUAAUAAUAAAGGGCAAUUACUUAUAUAUUUUCAAAAAGUUUCUGAAUUUUUUAUUUACUCUUUACAUUUUUACUUAUUUCAAAUAUAUUACUAGAGUUAAAUUAUGUUAAUGAAUUGUUAACAAUAGUUGUUAUCUAAAAAUAUCCUUUCACCGGCACUAAUUUUUCUUAUUUGUCCUUAAAUUAGGGAUACAAAAAGUAUUUUAAUUUUUUAGUUUUUUAAAUAUACCCUUCUAUCAUCACUAAUAUUUCUUAUUUGUCUUUAAGUUAAGGAUAAAAGAGGCAUUUUAAUUUUUUUAAAUUCUAGAUAUUUAACCCAUAUUUAACCUAAAUUAGUUUAACGGGUGGUAAUUAUAUAAAUACUUUAGAAUAACGGAGAAAUAUACGAGAAAUAUAUUGAAAAGAAGGGAAAAAAAAAAGAUAUUUCUAAAAUUUGGAGGGAUAUAUAUAGAUAAUUAUCCCUAAUAAUAAUAUUUAUAAUGGAAAUCAAAGUAGAGAUGGUUUUGAACAACUUUGGAAUAGGAUAAACUUGGCUUUUUAGUGGAGUUCAAUUCUCACACGCUGCAGCGGAAAACUGGCGUAUGCUAAUGGGUAGUGGGUCUGGACCUGGUCCGCCAUGUUAGUCGAGAAUACACUUUCGUGAAAGAAAAUUCUGCACAUUAGGUUGCUUGCAAUGCAUCCCAACAAAAUGGAUCCCCCGCUACCGCAGGUGUGGCAGUGAAUGGUCUUGUAUUUUGGACAGGCGUGUAACUUCAAUCUCAAUAGAGAUAAACAAUUUACAUAUAAAUUAUCGUAAAUUUAUAUCAUUUUAAACUUUUUGUAAACAAUUCUCUACAAUUCAGAUUUAAUAUAAUAUAAUAAUAUCCGAUUGAGGCGCCACUCUAAUAAGAAAUGUUAUAUUUAUUUAAAAAUUACUUUUGAGGAUAUUUGAUAAUUUUAAAAAAUUAAAGAUAUUUAAAAGACUACUGCGUGUCACAAAAUUUUAAGUCCUUAAAAUAUAAAGUGCAUUGGGACGUGUUUAAGAUCUUUGCGAUAAGUUUUAGGGCCGGUCCAUGGUGGACCAGGUCCAAGCAGAAUUAUUCGUUCCAAUGCCCCCGAGCCGUCUUUCCAGCAAAGGCUAAAAUCGUCAACUUGUGCAAGUUAAAAUAAAUACACAACCCUAAACUUUAAAACGUUUUGAAAUUCAGUCACUAAACUUUUCAUUCUUUCAUUUUUUGAUUUACCAUUUUUUAAUUUACUAUCCGUCUAAGGUUUAAUUUAGUUUAUUCUAUUAACAAUUUAAAAAAUUCAUGUAUCUUUUAUGAGUGUUUAUUUUGAUUUUAUUAGAAUUUUUACCAUUAUUAUAAACAAAAUAAGCCAAAUUAAGAGUGAUGAUACAUGUACACCAAAAAAAAAAACAUCAUACACUUUUUUAAUGCAAGAACCCGUAUGAAUUAUUAUAGAGUAAUGAGUUGGACAAAAUGUGAAAAUACACUCUCUUUGCGCAUGUUUGUUUCACCGAAAUUAAACUUUUAGUUGAAGUGAAUUUUGGAUUGAAAUAGUUUUCGGUGAAAACUACUUUCACAUUUGUUUCGUAGUUAUAAAAGUAAAUUUCAUUAGUUCUACUUUUUAUUUGGGAGGAUGAGUAUGAUAUAAAACUAUAACUUAUAUAUAAAUAAUAAAUAAUUUAAUAAAUAAAAUAAUAUAAUUAUAUUUUAUAUAAUUAAAAUUUAAUUUAAAACAACAAAAUUAUUUUAUAUAUAAACUAUAGUAAUACAACAAUAAAAUUAUAAAGUAAAAAAAUAUUAAUACUUAAUUAAUUAAUUUUUAUCAUAUUUUAAUUGUACAAACUAAAUAAAAAAAUAUUAAAAUUUAACUAAUCAAUUUUUAUCAUAUUUUAAAUAUGUCAAUUGAAUAAAAAAAUAAUUAAUAUCAUAAUUAAAAAUAUUUAAAUAUAACUAUCUUUAUCUAGUAUAUUAUUUUAUCACUUCUUCUUCAUCUUUUUGCAUCAUAAUUGACUUCGGCCCAUAAUAAGUCGAAAUCAAUUAUGCCGUUUUAGAUUAGCUCGAGUUUCGACCAUAACUGUUUUACGACGAACCAAACAAUGAAAGUGAUUGUUUAUGAUAAAAACGACUUUCCCACUAUCCACUUCCACCCCGCUUUCAUCCAAACAAACAUGCCCAAAUUUCGGAUGUAGGCGUAUUAUACAUUUUAAACCUUUUUUUAUGAUUAAUUUUAUACAGAUUCCUGCUGAAUUACAAAUAUAUCUUUAUAAAGUUUAACUUUCAUAUAUUGUUCCUACAAAAGUUUUAAUGUUUUCAAAUAUAUCUCUUUAGUUUGUUAAAAAUUAAAACGCCGUCUAUUUUAUAAGUAAAAUGAUAUUUUUGCCAUCAUAAAUAUGCCUCUUCAAACAUCUUAAUUGUUAAUUGAAAAGAGAUAAAAGGAUCAAUUCAUCUCAUUAACUAACUAGGGUUAAAUAUUUAACCUAUGGUUAACUAUAUUUUUCUAACGGAUUCAAACGGUAGGAAUAUAUUUGAAAACAUCAUAAGUUUUGUAGGAAUAAUAUAUAAAAUUUGAACUUUAUAGGUAUAUAUUUAUUAUUUACUAUAUUGCCAGGGACAUGUAUGCAAUUAACCUUUUGUUUAAAUUUAUUUUUUAACUCUUUCUCCCAACCCUGUUCGGCGGCGAGACUCUAGAGGGAAGAGGAGCGGCGAAAGAGGCGAGAAGAGAACUCUGUAGAGGAGUUUGUGGAGAGAGAGAGAGAGAGAGAGAGAGAGAGAGAGAGAGAGAGGGGUGGGGAUGGGGGUUUCUACGGUGGUGAACACGUACCCGCUCUCGAGCUACACGUUCGGGACGAAGGAGCCCAAGAUGGAGAAGGACACCUCCGUCGCUGAUCGCCUCGCCCGCAUGAAAGUCAAGUGCGUCUCUCUCUCUCUUUCCUCUCCCUUUACUUUUUUUUUUUUGUUUUUUUGUUUGAAUUUUUUCUCCCAAUUAAUAAACCCUCGUAAACCCUAGCUUGCAUAUGUGAAAGAUCCAAGAAAGCACCAGUCGGAGGAAGAAAAACCCUAGUUUUUUCUCUCUCUUGCUCUCUCUCAUCUCGAGAUCAUACCUCAAGCGAUGGCAUUAGAUUGUGGGGCCGUUGUUCUUCGACGCCGUAAAGUCGCGAUCUCGCGAUCUUCUUUUGUUUUUUUUUUGGGCGAUCUGGGAGUAGUUCGUAAGCCAAAGAACCCCUUUGCGGGUGAUUGGAAUGGCUCUUUCUUGAUUUAUAAUUCGUGAUUUUUGCAGCAUUAGAUUUUGGGACCUAUGCUCUUGAACGCCAUAAAGUCGCGAUAUCGUGAACUUUUUGCGAUGUGGGCGUAGUUUGUAAACCAAAGAACGCUUUUGCAGGAUUGAUUUAUAAUUCGUGAUUUUUUCCCCAGUUCUUGUUUUCUGUACAUUGAUUGGAUGUAAUGAACAGAUUAAUCUCCGAAUUAUAGCUAAAAUUCUGGUGGGAAUAUCAUACUGGCCCAAAAUUUGAUCUUUGUACUACAGAAUGCAAAACUUUGUGAUAUUUUCUCACAUUUGGUUCAUGAAAGCUUGUACUUUUUGUUUCUGGUGCCAGUUACAUGAAAGAAGGAAUGCGGACAAGUGUUGAAGCGAUUCUCCUGGUUAGUACGUAAAUCUUGAACAUGUUUAAUAUGGUUUAUUCUUUCCACUAUUAUUGCAAAAUCGUAGCUUUAUUUAUUCUUAUAUCUUAUAUGUUGAUAAGCAUCCUCUUUAUCAGGUCUCCUUUUUCUAAUAACGAAAUAUUAAGGACAUAAUUGUAUUUACUUUCAAUGAAUGUUUAUAUUAUCCCUCUGAUUUUGUUAUUCAAAUCAGAAGUGCUGUUCAACCUCCACCAUUCGGCAUUUGGCAACUGAUAUGUGCACAAAAAAAAAAAAAUUAAAAUCUCCCAGCGAGUUGGAAGAAACAAGUUGUUCUUGUUUUAUAUGGAGUUACUAAUUUGAAAUAGCUUACAUGUUGUUUGGGUGAUGCGCUUCAAUUGAUUGGUCCAUCAUAAUCUGUCAACAAACCAAGGGGUCUGAGGUUUUUCCUUGUGGAAUGAGGAACAUUAAGUCUUCCUUUGGGAUCUCUCCUUUGUGCAUGAUGAGUUCGCUUUCUCAUGAAAUUGCUUGUAGGCCACUUGAAAAUCUACAAACCUUUUGGUUGGCCAAAUCAGGAUGUGAUCAGAAGAUAGAAAAUUGAUGGCAGUUGGCACAAAAGCAUAUGUGCAGUCACGUUCUAUGCUACCUUCACAGCGUCAUGCCUUUUGUACCAUUCUGGCACUUUUAGCAACAUAUAAUGAUACAGCCGUUAUGGAAAGUAAUCUUGCAUUACCUAAGUGAUUGACUGCUUGACCCACGUUGCUCGGCUCAGUGAUUGAACACCUCGUUUAGACAAAACUCAUCUUUGGUUUAUAGUUGCACUUUUAAUGGUUUUCUUACUGUACAUAUGUUAUGGUUGCAUCUAAUUCAAUGUACAUCAAGUUGAGUAGUUUCAAUAAACUUUUUACUUCAUAUUAGGAAGGCAUAAUUAAAGAAACUGACAAUUGAUGGGUAGUUUUGAUACUGUAAUUAGUGGUCUUAAUGAGAAUUUAAUUAGUUUGUUUCUCCUAUUAGUUCUAUUAUGCAGAUAGUAAGUUUAGCUUGAUAUGCAGGUGCAGGAGCACAAUCAUCCCCACAUAUUGCUACUCCAAAUUGGUAACACUUUUUGCAAACUUCCUGGUGGACGCUUGAAGCCUGGAGAAAAUGGUGGGAUGAAUGAAAUUUUUUGCUAUUUUAUGGAUAGUUUGAGCUCACUUGAGAACAGUGUACUCUUUUAAGUUGCUUAUCUCUUAAAUGGACUAAGUUGUCUGUAACUUGACAGAAAUUGAAGGUUUGAAAAGAAAACUGUCUAGCAAACUUGCUGCUAAUUCACCAGCCCAUCAGCCAAACUGGCAGGUAUGGCAUGCAAAUGCUACUUUUAGUCUGGUUAAUGGGAAUUAGAUAUCAAUGUUGAAAGGUUAUAAGCUGCAUUCCUAUUGAUGUCUGAUUUGAUCAGUGCAGCUGUACAAAGCUUAAAAGUUAUAAACCACUGAAGUUGCCUGAUAUUUUUCACUUUUAAGUCUGAUCUCUAUAGGCCAUCAUUUUCUUAUAGGGAACGGCAGUGGCUUGAUCUUCAACUAUACUCUGUUAGCGGACCUUUUAACUGUUUUCACUGAGAAGAUCUUGGAAUGAGAAAUGGUUUCGGAAUGGUUAAUGAGAUCUUAAAAGUGUGACUGCCUUCUGUGGCUGUCUAUUGCUAGGUUUUUUCCUCUUGGGUUUCUUAUAAGGCUGUUAGAUGCAUUUCCCCGCUGUGUAGUAAAUGAUAUUUAGUUGUAUGAUUGUUAAAUAAUACAGUUGCAUUGUUCUUAAUUUCUAUCUGCACCAAUUUCAUCUGCUAUAAAUUAGUGCUUCUGGGUUUUGUUGUAGCGUGCUGCCAUUUAUGGAUUUUUGCAGUUUGUAUUUGGCAAAAAUUAUUCAUCUAUGUACAUAUUUCUAGUUGUCAGAGUGAGGGGCCAUAGGAAAACCGUCAGUGUGUUGGAAUACAAAUCUAAAGAGCUAACAUUAUCAAACCUUAUACAUCCCCUUCUACUUCUUGCAGGUAGGUGAGUGUGUUGCAGUGUGGUGGAGGCCAAAUUUUGAGACUGUUAUGUAUCCUUAUUGUCCGCCCCACAUUACAAAACCCAAAGUAAGCUAUAGGUGAAGCUUAGCACUAGUAAUUUUGACGUUUGGUUGCUUUUUCUGAAAUAAAAUUAUGUUUCCAUUUUCAGGAGUGCAAAAAGCUGUUUCUUGUUCACCUGUCGGAAAGGGAAUAUUUUGCUGUUCCCAGGAACUUGAAAUUGCUUGCUGUUCCACUGUUUGAGCUCUAUGACAAUGUUCAGGUAUGCCCGGUGUUCUACAGCCCAGUUCAAUGUAGCUACGCUUCAUGAUCCAUAUUGUCAUAAAGUAAAACUUAUCAUUUCAUAGUUUUUUGUUUUGCAUUGUUGCCCAUCUUGCUGUGUAAUUGAAGUUUAAAUAAUGGCAUGUAAAGAGAUCAUGUCUGUAUUUAUUGCAUUAUUGUACAUUCAAUGCCUGAUUAGGCUGUUCACGUAGGGAUUUGUAGUUGGAAUCACCUCAUAAGUCUUGUCCUUUACAAGAUUUCCCAUGAUCAUUUGGAUUUACUAACUCUUUAAUUGAAUCUAAAUGGUCUAUCGGUUGAUUUUCAUGAUAAUUAAUUAUUUCUGUAAUUGUUAUUGUUAUGGACAGCGAUAUGGACCUGUUAUAUCAACAAUUCCACAACAAUUGUCAAGGUUCCAGUUCAACAUGGUUAAUGCCUGAAAUGGGUGAAGCUGAAGGAUAGAUAUCGUAAAGCUGCAGGUAGACGAAAAGCAUGAGCGAAGCAUGUCCUGCCUUAUCAUAUGCUGCUUCCUAACUAACCUUUUGUUAUCUGAAAGUAGUCAUAUAUGAAUUAAUGUACUGAUAAAUCUGCGUGAUGAUUUGUAACGUAUUUACACUUUCAGUUGGAUGCCACAUAUUUUGAGCUGUAUCUUAGAGAGGCGAAAAUGAAGUUGUAGAUGUUGGUAGAGACUAGAGACUUGCAUGUAUUUGAUAGAAAGUACAUUAUUAUCAUGUAAAAUGGAUGAUAUUUUUCUUUUUCCGUCCCCCCUUUAAGAAAUUUUUCUUUUGGAAAGCAAAUUGCUUAAUGUUGGUGACAAGAGAUAUCUCCUUGAAUUUCGAUUUUCACUCAAGAAAAAGAGCCAUAUCUCGGAGUCUUGAUAUAUUCCUUGUGUGGAAAUUUAUCACCGACUGAUGUAUUUGCCUAACAUGUAGCUCGGUGCGAGUUAAGAAGCGUUUUAUUUCCAUGGGACUCCUAAAACGGUUUACAGGAUCAUGCUAACCCAAUAAAGUACCUAAUCUCCAUCAAAGGCUCGAUUGCUGUUCCACUUAUUUAAUUUCAUUCUUGUUUUUAUGCUCUUUAAUGUACCUUUUAUUGCGAGGGAACACAAUGAUAGCAGCCAGUUGCCCACCGUUCUAAGUUCUGAAUGGGUUUUCUCAAAGGUAAACCAGCAGUAUGGAAUACAGUUCCUGACUCCGUCCUUUACAUUGAUUUGGCUAGGUUUGGCCCUCGGAAUGUUGCAAAUUUAGAAUUACAAAAUUAAAGAGAAAAGGUCUUUUUCAUGCCAUGUUGAUUAAGGUUCAUUGGUUGUUGUAAAUUCUCUUUAAAACCUAUCAAAAUGUUGAAGGACAAAUACUCUCUUUCGGAUUUGUGCUUCCAUUAAAAUAUUUGUUGUUAGCAACUAGCCCCAUAGGGAUCUCACGAGUUACCCACUCCUUUGAUAGUUCACUUAAUGCAAGUAAUGCUGCAUUUGUUUUAUUUGUGAUUUCAACAUAGUUGAUAUAUUUUAAGACGUAAAGAUCUAGAAAGUCAUCCUAUGUUUGGUGUGCAGACUUCAUUUGCGCGUCAAUUCAAAUCACGUUUGUUUUUGAUGGAAAUCCAUACGAUUUUCUUUUUGUUGACUGCCAAGAGUAGGAACACACUGAGGUUUGUGUGCAUAUUGUAUAUUUUAUUGUAGGAUUAAGAGAAUCAGGUUUUCAUUAGCAGGAAUUUGUGAUGUUCAGUUUCUUUUCUCUGGUUGGGAGUUACUACUGCGAAAAGCGGAAGAGUUUGGUAGGUAUUUUUCCGGGAGAAGCGCGCUACUGAUAUAGGAGAUAUCACAGUCAAGUUUGUAGAUAGAAUAAUUGUUGGUGGUUGUUUAGUAGCUAUGUGCAUAUAUCUUUUCCUUUUUUAUUUGUUGUUUCUGGUGCUCUUUGGUUUUCGAUACUCAACUUUUAUGCUUAGCCUUGUUGGAUUCGUCUCUGUUAUCUCGCAAAGCCAUUUUUGGAAAUUAAAUAUUGUCCCUUCAAAAAGAAAAGGACUGUGCAAAGCAUAACAAUGGUAUAAGUUGGUCUUCUCCAAUUGCUAACCUUGUGUUUUGAUUAAUAUGGAAGGAAAAUUUCGUGGAACAAGACCCGCAUGCGCAUUAUGCGGAGCGAGAGUUAAGUACAAAUUUGUUUCUACGUAAGCAACUUCACUCAAUUCGGAGGUCGAAAGCAAUAUUAGCCAUUUCAUGUGAUUAUGGAUGAGCAAAUUGUCCUUUUUUAGUAUUACAUCCUGCCAUUACUGCAGCUGGCAUUUAGGUCAUGAGUUAACAUCAAGUCCUCCAACUAUACAUUGUGGAAAUCAGUUUCUCUACGUAAAAUUUAUCGAUUUGGCUUAUGUUAAAAUAGAGAUUCUAUUCUUCUACUCCUGGAUAUUCUUCCAUAACAAGGCUCGGUAGAAGACAAUCAAGUACAUGUGAAAUAAAUACCCUCUUACAUUAUUUCUUUAUAAUGUUUUAUCAUGCGUGCUAAAUACGUGCUAAAUAUAUUCUUCCAUGGAUUAGUAAAUUGGUGAGAUAUCGUUUCCUAGUGGUAUGUUCUUUGCAAGAAUCAGUUUUUUUUUCUUUGUGGAUGUGGCCUGCUCUGGUUACAUACUCUUUACCUGCUUCGGACAAUAGUUAAAUUAGCUUAUGCAUAAUUUAUGAAUCAUGCGCAUGAUUAGGUUAGGAUGUGACAGGGCGAAGGAUUGCUUUAAAAUGCCAAUUCCUUAUUCGUCACGAUUCCAUCAAAAGAAUACUUAAUUGUUUGUUGCUAUUCUAGUGAUAAACUUUAGUUUCCUUUCCAUUUUUUUCUACAUUUAAUGCUCAAGUGGUACUAUUAAUUGUAGUGGUGCUGGCCUUUUAAUUUAGAUUGAUCACUUCUUAGGAACUCUGAGAUAGAUCUUUUCGGCGGCUAAAGCAUCUUCCCAUGCCCGUUAGAAUAACAAACAAUUAAUGUCGUUAGUGUAUAUUUUCUGAUUAUUGUUUAAUGAUGAUCACUUGUCUUCAUCUGUGGGUAGGUUGGAGCUACAGUAUAUUAAUAAUCCGGUACGAAAGAUGUUGAGAAUGAUAACAUGAAUCAAUACGCAAGUUGCAAUAUAAAAAGUGUCCUAUUUGGUUGUUCUAUCUGUGUUCUCACUGAUGGUGCAUCAAGAUGAAUUUCAUUUCUUUGAAGUUCGUGGAAACAGCUUUGCACAUGCAGAAUCGUCUUACCUUACUAUGGCUGCAGAUCUGCUGCACACAGUUUUCCGACGAACACAUUUUCGUCGACGCGUACUGCAUAUGUUCGUACGUACGUACGUGCAUUCAUUCAUCCAUAUAUAUUUGAAAACUUAUGUGCGUGGGGUAUAUAUAUACGAAUGCAAGUGAAAUAUACUUUGUUUAUUUAAGAGUGAUUGCCGACGCAUUUGAUCUCAUCGAAUCCAGCUGUGGCCCAAGGGAGUUGCAAGUUUUGAAGUUUAAAGAUUCCUAGCUAAAGGCGUGUUAUAGAAGAAAGUAGGGCAAAGAAACUGCAUAUUUUGCUUGAUCUAUAUAUUUGGGCAAGGCGUGUUUUAAGUCCUCGUCGUCGAUACGGGUCGUAUCCAACGUGUCUUAACUUGGGAGGAAUGGCAACGGAGCGGGGCCGGAACGGGGAAGGACCCCACCCCAUCCCAUCAGGGUUUUUUUGGGUUUCCUUUCUGGCCCUCUCCUCGCAACGGGAGAGAAGGCUUCAUCCCUCUAGGGAUUUAGUUGAUUUUCUCUAAAAAAAUAUAUACUAAAUUAAUUUUUUAAUUAAAAUUUAAUUAAAUUUUAAUUCAAAUAAAUUUAAGUUUUAUUUAAUUAUUAAGUUUAUUUUUUAUUUAUUAUUAAAUUAUUAAGUAUGAUAUAUCAAACAAAUUACUAAAAAUGUAUAUCUAUCAAAUAUGACUUAACUAAUAUAUAUAUAAAAUAAAUAAGUUUAAAAUAUUUUAUCAAAUUAAAAAUAUAUUUAAAAGUAUUAAAAAUAUAUUGAAGGCAUCAAAAUUAGUAUUUUAUAUUUAUAAAUAAAUUAAGAACUAUAUAAUAAUAUAUAUUAUAUUAUUUUGCGGAGCGGGAAGUAGCAUUCUCGUCUCUGCCCGUCCCCACUGGGACAAAAUCUUUUUCAUACUGUGCCGACGAUAUCGCUCAAAAUAUUCUUUUCUUUUAAAUUAGUAAAUAGAUAUCUUAAUAAAGUGCAAAAGAUUUGAUAAAAAUAUGUAAUAUGCAAUUAAAAUAUAUUAGUGUAAAAGAAAAUAAAUGUUUUAUGUCAUUUUGUGUCGAAAUGUAGAUAUUAUUCUCGUGACUGGCAUGUAUUAGCACGACAUCGUACGAACAGUGCCAUACCAUGGCAGUAGAUUUUCGGCAUGAAUCCAUUCUAAGGCACUUAAAUCCUUGCUUUUGGAUUUCUAGAGGAUUUUUUUUUUUUUUUUUUUUUUUUUUUUUUUUUUUUUUUUUUUUUUACUUUAUUGAUCAAUUAUGUUUUGGUGUCCACAUUUAACUUACAUGGUCCCGUGUGUCUGCUCUAAGAAGUGUUGAAAUGUUACGAAAUGUUGCCGAGAAGAGAAUGCCGUGUUAAAUUGUGGAGCUAAUGAUUCGUGCAUUUACAAACCUAAUGAGACUUGUUUUUAUAUGAUAAAGUAGUUUAUUGAUCUAAUUUAAUCAUUUGCGUGCAUACAGCAAAUGUAUGGAAGAAAAAGGUACUUGUACACUUCAAUCGGAGUAUACAUCUUACACUCCAUGAGUCACUCACUAGUCAUUUAACGUUAUAAUGAAAUCAUUCCAUUUAUAGGAUGUAUAUGAUGUAAGAUGUACAUCUCGACUAGAGGAUAUGAGCAGUAUUACUAAUUAAAAGUACAAUAAGUAUAAUUAUGUGCAUCUUAUUUACUUGGAAAUAGUAGAUAACGUUGCAAUUAUAAAAUAAUUUGUUUGAUUGGUGAUGAAAUUACCUCUCAAGUAGGUGAAAAAAAAAAUUUCUAUUUAAAAAAUUAUUAGGGAGGUAAACUUACCUUUUGUUUAAAACUGCUUUUUCUAAUUGCUGCAAUUGAAAUUUCGAUCAAUUUAAACGUAGUUUAAACUGUUGUAGUUGAGAUUCCUUAUGCAUGCAGUGGUCAAUUUAAAUGUAGUUUCAGCUGUUGUAGUUGAGAUUCCUCAUGCAGUUUGACCUACAGUAAUUGAAUGCAUUUGAAUCAAACUAAAUACUAAAUUUAUAUUCAUAUAUGUUGGCAUUCGGUUAAACCGAAUUGGGUGCGCCUAUGCUUGGGCUUGAUCCAACGGUUAUCAUAUUGUCUAAUUGGACUAAAUUUAAUUUCGCUUUUAAAUUGAAAAGCUAAUUAGAGAUAUAUUCUAGCCAUAUUAGGAUAAUAAUCAUGAAUGGAUUCUGCAUAAUUUUUUACUUGUGUAUUAGGGUUUUUUACCCUUAUAAAUAUACAGGUUAUUCCCUUAUAGAAAUAACAACAAAAACAAUAGAGAAAAAAUACUCAAAAAAUGUGAGUAAUUUAUGAGCCAUCUUAUUAGAGAGAGAAACUACAUCCUCUAUUGCCCUAUUAUUUUAGUGGGCCUUGGACGGUGGAUUAAAAAUCGUGCUCGUUCGUAAUUCAAUCUACCAUGGGUUCGGAGCGUUAGAAGAUCUUCGUAAUCGAUCCAAGAAUACGUGAAUCAACCUUUACGAUCCGAGUUCAUCACGUUCUAGAGCAAGUCGCUUCCGUAAAAAUACGAAUAAAUACUUCCACUGUAUUCUACAAUAUAUAAUUAUAACUGCAGCGCAGUUGCAACGUCAUAGCAACCAAAAACGAAAUUGCACUGUGUGUGAGCAGUUUUUGCUAGCAGGUUAAUAAGAACAAUCACAUCUACAACAGUAAAUUCUCUCAAAGUAGUUGAAGCAUUUGGAUUUUGUCAAGUAGUUUUAAUGGAAAAGCAUCAAAAUCAAGUUGGUACAAAACUAGUUAGUCUUUCAAGAUUUUUGCAAAUGUUAUUAAGGGCCAGUACAAAUUUGAAAAGUCCCAGAAGAAUACAAUGCAUGUGUUCCCACAAAAUUAUAGACCCAAAAUUUCUAUGCUCAGAGUUCAUUGACUUUAGAAAUAGUUUAUUAAAGCAAAAGAGUGAUAACAGGUUUUCAAAUGAGAAAAUAAAUUAUUAUAUUGGUAAUAAUUAAAAUUAUGUCAUGUCUAUGGAGAAGGUUACACAAUGUGUUUUGUGGCACUAUUUAAAUGCAAAUGGAUCAGAUAAAAGAAAUAUUUAUUGUUUUGCGACCUCCCAUUGUGUAACUUAAGCAUGAUUCUAUUUUAUCAUCUAAAGAAUUAAUUUGUUGGCAAUGAUUAUGUUUUGUUUUGUUACAUAAUACAAGUUGGAAUGUUCCUUUGAUGAUAAGAUGAUAGAUAGUUAAUCACUUGAUCUCAAGCCAUUGUUAAUUACAUGUCACAGGAAUGCUGUAGAAGCAGUUUUCUCAAGAUUAAAGCAUGAACUCAACUGUAACUGGUGGUUGAUUAAAAACAAGCACCGGUUUAGUUCAUUACUUAAGAGGCUAAUUUGAUUUCUCGAAAAAGUGUGAAAAGAAGUUUUUCAAGAAAUUUUUUGAAUGUUUUAUCCGUUUGAUUUGAAGAAAAAUAAGUAUUUUUGAAAAUCUUUUUUUUCAUAUUUCAUGGAACUAUAGAUUUUUCAUUUUCCAGAUUUUUUUAGAAUAACAAAAAAAAACUAGUUUUCUAUAAAAUAUGAAAAAAAAAUUUUUUUCAUAAAACUAGUUUUUUCAGAACCAAAUAGACAAAAAAAUAAAAAAUUGAUUUCUCAUAAAAAAAAGUUUCUCGGGAAAUUUUUUUUUAUACUUUUCCGACCAACGUAACACCCCCUAAGCACUUUCAGAUCCUUUAAGGGGGUGGUUGCGCGUACAUUUUUAUUUUGUCAACAAUUUUGUAGUUUAAAAUGCUACACUUUUCCUACUCUAUAAUUUCUUUUCUGGUUUAUUUGAUUGACGUCUAUUCGGUUCUUUGGUUCCCUUGGUGUAAAAUUUUUGCAUAGUAUUUUUUUUUAAAAUAUUGUUUUCUAAGGGGUUUUCCCCGUUAUAUUCAAAUAAACAAAAAAAAAAUGAUUGUCUUUCUAUAUUGCUGUAAAUUUUGUUGUCGAAUAAAUCAUUAAGUACUCAAAUCUAUAAACCAUUGGAUAGUAAAUUGAUAUAUUUGAUUCAUCACAGAAUGAUAAAUUAUUCUGCUGCUCGAUUAAUAGUAGAUUCUUAAAGUAAAAUAAAGAUAAAAUUAAAAAAUAACAAAUAUUUUAAAUUGUAGGAUAGCAAGAACGUAAAGUCACCUACUCUUUUCCAACUAAAUUGAGAGCCAAACAAUUACUAAAGAAAAUAUUUUUUAUAUAAAAAAAAUCAAUGUAUCAAUAAAGCAUCCACACUGAUUUUUUAAUCAGAAAGGGUACAAAGAUUUAAAAAACAAUAAAAAGUACAUUGCACAAUAAAAAUUGAACUGAUUCCAGCUUUAUGCAACUUACGAAGGGCCACGCCAUAGUCAAAAGAUCUCAAAUUUGUACUUGUAUUUGUUAUUGUUCAAUUAUUUUGGAGUGUUUAUGAAGUAAUCUACAAUCUUUGAUGGGGACAAAACAUAAUAAGCAAGUUCUUCAAAUUGAUCUACUCUUAAAAAAUAUAUUUAUACAAAUAGGCCAAUCUAAAUAGUUUAACUUGAAAAGUGGCGUAUCUUUUUUCCCUUUUCAAGGGACAAAUUGAGAGCGAAAGCUAGAUGACUUAUUUGGGGAAAAAUGUUAACAUAUUAAUAGUUAGUUGGCUAAUUUGGGUUUAAUGGAGAUAUACAUUUCAAUUUACAAAAAAAGCUUGUCAUGUAAGAAUGAUGAUGAACGUGCCUUGAUUUAAGCUUUUGAUCUUUUAGUUACAUUUGAGAAGAGUUUUGUCGAGUAGCAUAUUCGUGAUUAUUACCGGACACAACUUGUUCUUUGUAUUUUGCUAUUUAUCACUGAUAUUUUUAUAAGCCUCAUGUUUCCGUAUUGGGCAUGCGUAUAUGCUUAUCAAAUAUGUGUCCGAUAUGGUCACUCUUUGAACGCCCGUUCAAUGUCAGUGUAUAGUGCAUACAAUAAAAUAUAUAUAUAUAUAUAUAUACAUAUUUUUAUUUUAUUUUUUUUAUACAUAUAUAAUGUAAGAUGAUAAAUAUUUUAACUUUUUAAUAAAUGCAUACAAUUUUUUUUUGACAAGAUAAGUAAAUUAUGUAUGGUGGAGAAAUUUUUUUUUUUUAAAUAUAUGAACUAUCUAUCAAAAUUUUACUAAAUUUCAUUCGUACGAGGAAUAUAGCAAUAUUUCACUAAAAUUAAUAUUUUAUACAUAAUAAUAUAUAUUAUAAUAUUAAUAAUAUUAUAUUUUAUUAGCCGCUGUCCGUGCUGUAUCUGUUUCCUAAUUUUUGAAAGUUGUUGCUUUGCUAUGUCCAACUCGUGUCGUAUUUCGUGUCCGUGUCAGUAUCAAAAAAUAGAGGCGAAAGAUACCACAACAAUAUCGUAUCAGACAAUUUGUCUUCUUGUAGUUGGAUCUCCAAUUUUUUGGAAUGCUCCAAAUUCUACUUGAGCAUCCAAAUCAGGUUCAAUACCAGUAGAAACAUGAACAAAGUUCUACGGCACCGACCGUUCCUAGCGCAAGUGGCAAAGGGUUUGAUGAUUAGCACCCGAGGUUCCAAGUUCGAAUCUUAGUUGAUUCACAUUUCUAACCAAGUUUAUUUCUAAAUUAAAUAAAUGAAGCGGUAGCAUACUACUUAUCUCUCAAAAAAAAAAANAAAAAAAAAACAAAGUUCAUUUUUCUCAAAAAAAAAAAACAAAGUUCUACUACCUAUCUUUUUUCUUUUUUUUUUUUAAGGGAAAACUUUAAAUACCACUCCCCUAAUUCCACACUUUUUCACUUUAGUAACUUGUGGUUUAAAAUAUAUCAAUUUAGUACCAUGUGGUUUCGCAUUUUCUCACUUUAGUACUCUGUGGUUUAAAGUGCAUCAAUUUAGUAUACUGUGGUUUCAUUUUUCUUUUUUCGUCGGUUCCUCGGUUAAUAUUUCAUUAAAUUAUAUACAAAAAACGUCAGAUACCCUACCUUGGUUUAUCGAAUAUUUACUUUAGUACCCUUUAGUUUUAACGUUGUCACUGAUUUUUUUUUUCCUCCGUUAAUAUUUCGUUAAAUUAUAUAUAAAAAACUUUAGAUACCCUAUCUAGGUUUAUUGAAUAUUUAUUCUAGUAUCCUUUAAUUUUAACUUUGUUACUAAUUUAACGAAAAAAAUUAGUGACGUAGGUAAUAAAAAAAGAAAAAUGAAACCACAGGGUACUAACUUGAUACACUUUAAACCACAGAGUACUAAAGUGAGAAAGUGCAAAACCACAGGAACUAACUUGAAACACUUUUAACCACAGGGUACUAACGUGAGAAAGUGUGAAACCACGAGGGGGUAUUUGAAGUUUACCCAAAAAAAAAAUGAUGGUACCAAUGACCUUUGACCCAAAAAAUAAAAAAAAAACCACUUUAUGUACUUGCAAUGAAUUUAUUUUCUCAAAAAAUGACUAGCGACCCAGUCAAAAUUAAAAUUAUGCUCAAAGCCUUUGAUUAGCUGAUAAACACAUUACAAGAGGAAAAUGCAAGCACUGCAUGCACUAAUUUAAUCUCUGUCGGUGCUUUAAUUUGCGAAAGAACGAAUCGAAAAGAGUUGACAUUACAAAUCAUAUGAUUAUGUGUAGCCUAAAUUCAUAUUCGCCUCGUGGAACAGCAGGCCUGCGCUCAUUCCUCUUUCCCUCCUUCGACUCCCUAAAAUUCUGAGUACUUAGUCUAAUAGUGUGAAAGGCUAAUUACAUUAUUAAAAACUUCUGCUAAAACUCGUGGCCUCGAGAAAAUGACAAACUAUGGUACUUAAGUAUCAAUUAUUUUAUCUAAAACUUUAGAAACUGCGACAUCGCAAUAAUUGACUAGUGAUUAUACUACCUGUCACCAAAUUAUGUACUAUAAAGUAUUAGUUUUGUAAUCUAUAAAGGGCCAUCUUAUGUGACUAACUGAGUUCAUUAUAUGACAAAGUCUAUGUCAUUAAGUUUCAUUUUACUCUUCUUAAUAGUAGUUUAAUCAGUUAAUGAAAGAUUCUUCAUGACUAUAUAUACAUGUAUACUUUCCCUGUUCUCUCUCUCUCUCUCUCCAUUGUAAGCAUCAUUGAAAAGGCCAGUUUUUUCCCUGUUACAUGAGCAGCAUUGCUUGAUAUGGGGUGCAAGACAUGUGAGAAGCCAAAAGCCAAUUACAGGAAGGGCUUAUGGUCACCAGAAGAGGACCAGAGGCUAAGGGAUUACAUUCUCCGAUACGGCCACGGCUGCUGGAGUUCGGUUCCUGCUAAAGCUGGUGAGUUGCUGCACUUCCGCUUUCGUUCGACGCUGAAUUCCGAUGACUACGGUACUAAACUUGCGAGUGAGAAUUGAAAGAGACAUAAAUGUAUGAUAAGCAUGUCAGCAUUUCACAUGAGCUACAUUUGGCCUAUUUGUUGUGCUCCUUCAACUUGAUCAUAUAUAUAUAUAUGCCUAAUUGAGCAUCUUAGUUUUCUGCGAUUGCGAUUAGCCGUGUGCCCGUAUGUAGAUUUUGCAUACAAAUUGAAAGACCAAAUAGAAAAGAAAGAAGGGAGGGAAUGAUCUGAAUUAUGCUUAUACAAAUUGCAGCUCUGAAUUAAUUGCCUGGUUACUGCUGCAGGCCUGCAGAGAAAUGGCAAGAGUUGCAGAUUGAGAUGGAUCAAUUACCUCAGGCCGGGGUUAAAGCGCGGCAUGCUCUCUCAAGCAGAGGAGGAAACUGUUAUUAACCUUCACGCGGCAUGGGGAAAUAAGUAUGCAUCUUUUGUAGAACCUGUUCUUCUACUUUAUCAAAUUGUUUACUGGCGCUUAAAUCAGCAACCAAUUCUCAACAUUUAGUUGUCUAUUUCUUAAAUCCGUAACAAGUUGGUAAUGCAAUGUCAUAAAAAGAACACAAUGAUGUGGAGUAGGUUGAUGCUGACACACUUAUACGGGAAUCUACGGUUCGAAAAUAUGAAACAUUUUCCGAUGAUUUUAACACUUGUAUAUUUGAUAUUUAGAAUAGAAGGGCUAAUGAAAAGACUAAAAUCAUCAUGGUUGGGGCUAAAAAUAAUGUAAACUUAUUAUUCCACGCAGUUGCUUCCCCUGGAAAGCUAAUUCAUUUCUUUAGUUUUAUUGAAUUGUAGAAUCAGUUUCGAGAUUUUAUUAUAUAUUGUCGUUACCCCUACUUAAUUAAUUGAUAAAAUGUAUUCAGUGUUUGGCUCAUAAUCAAUUGACUACUUGCCAAAAAAGAAUUAAUUAAAAAAAAUAAAUUCUGGAUGCUCUUAUUAAGUAAUAUUAUCUUAGCCAAAUAUUCAAGUUGCCGUGUGAAAACAAGCAAUUUGGUUCUCAUUUUUCCAUCUUUUUUUUUUUUUUCCAUUUUCUUUAGUCAGUCAUAGACUUUGAUUAAUUUAUGAUUAUAUAGAAUGCUUAUUACCCGCGCAUGUUUAUUUGAUCUCCCAAUAGUUGACAAAGUAAAUUGGUACAUUGCAGGUGGUCCCAGAUAGCAAGGCAUCUACCGGGCCGAACCGACAACGAAGUGAAGAACCACUGGAACUCGUACCUCAAGAAAAGAGUUCUAAAGACCGCCGAAGGGUCUAACUCUUGCUCAUCAUCAACCAAGUCCACGGACAUGGACAACAGCCACACGCAACUCGUUGAAGAAACCAAGAACCAGAUCGCGAAUUCGGAUUCUCCGGACCCAGUCGAGUCACGUACGUUGAGCUCGUGCCAAACCGUUUCACAGAGCACCGGACCCAACAGCUCGAAUGAGAAAUCUCAAGCACCGAUUCCUCGAAUUCUGUUCGCUGAUUGGGCCUAUACCGACCCUGCGAACGGCGAAAACGCACUGGGUGUAGAUGGAUCAAUGAACUACAAGUUGGAGCCCAGCUCAAGUUAUGAGUUUUACAGCAAUAUAACAGCAGGGGAUUUUGGUCAGGGAUUUGAAGAUUACGGCAUGUACAGGGGGUUCAAUUCGGAGUUGGAAACUGCUAGUCAAAUACAGGGAGGGGGGUUUUAUGAUCCUUCAUCUAUGAGUGAAGUGUUUGGUUGUAUUGGACCAAGCCAUGCAUGGUGAAAUUUAGUAAUAAUCUCAUCAAAUUAAGUCACUUUAGUAUUGAUUCAUGGUUGUGUGACAAUUGGUAUCAUUGAAACAACUUGUAAAUACUUAAUCAUACACAUUUCUUGUCCGCGGAACGGUUUGAGAAGAGCCAUAAGAGGAACUCAACCAAAUUGGUGAUGUUCAAAGUUAAGAGAAAUCUAGUCAAGUGCAAAGUUGCCAUUGUAAACUAAUAAAGGUAUAAAUAAAGGAAUUUGAGAUGCUUGGAGUGUGUUUUUAAGUUGUUGCUGUUUCUUUUAUGAAUUCAAAAGUAGUAAAAAUUGCAUGAAAACCACCUCAAAUAUAGGCCCUAAAGCUUUUUUUUUUUUCUUUUUUUCUUUUUUUAGGGUAAACUUCAUAUGGACAAUAAUUGGUGUUAGGAACAUUGAAGUAUUAGUAGUUUUUUUUGCUGAAAACUAUUAAGUUUAAUGCUCUAUCAGCAUUGGAUGUAACUUUUCUAAAAUAAUGAAUAAUGAAUGACAACGACAAUAGAAGUAAAAAAAAAAAAAAAUCUAAGUUUGGAUGCAAUUUCAAAAUGUAUUAUAUUUCAGAUAAGAUCUAUAAGUUAUAUCUGAUAUAUGUGUCCUAAAUAUUAAGGCAGGUAAAGUAAUAGUAAAUACGUUCACUAUGUUCUCAAAGCAAUGUUUCAUGUACAUCCAUACAUACAUAUUUGACAUAUGUAUCUUAAAUAUAGCGAUUUAAUUUUUCACACAAGUCUUAUCAAAUUUUUAUUUUUUCAAUACUAAAAAUCUAAAAAAAUAAUCUAAAUCCUUAGAUGCAUUGGGUGUAAGAUUUGCAUCCAAUUUUCCUAGUCUAGGUCUCUUCCGAACAACUUCGGAGGUGAGCGCCACUUAUGAAUUGUGAAGCCUCAAUAAAAUAAUUACACAUCAGAUAGAAAAAAAGGAUAUGAUUAAAAAUAUAGUGGAUUAUAAACUAUAAUAAAGAUAAUUGAGUUUAAGUAUUUUAUGCUUUUAAUUUGGGCCCAACAAGUUAUUAGUUUCUGGGCAAAGUGGUUAACACUGGUAUCAAAGUCGAUUUACCAGCAAAAAAUGUGAGGUGAGACUCGUAUCGUCUUAUGAUCUUGGAUUAGAGAAUAAAACUUAGACGAUAACAUCUAUCGGGCUCUAAAGAUGGGGCUAACAUCUCGUGGUAAUAUUGAACUAGAACUUGAACGAGAAUGUCUAGAUCUAAAGGGAUUGGGGAUCAUAUCGUCUGGUUAUUGUGGAUUAGGGAAUGGAACUUGGACGACAAUAUCUAGGUCUAAAGGUGGGGCUUACAUUACCUGGUAAUAUUAGGCAAGGGACUGGACCCGACGAGAUGUCAGAGUAUCAACAAAAAAAUCUAAAACGUCCCAAUAAAAUAGUCACACAUCGAAUUGAAAAUAAAUAAUAAUUGAACUCAAAUAUUUUAGACUCGUGGUUUGGAUCCAACAAGCUAUUAGUGCUAGUGGGCCGAAUUGUUACAUUUAGUAUCAAAGUCAGUUCACAAGCCGAAAGGAUAAAGUGGCUCACAUCGCUUUGUAAUCUUGGGCCAGGAAAUGAGAGACGAGAAUGUCAAGAUCUAAACAAGGAGUCUUUAAAGCCCUAAUAAAAUAGUAUCAAAUCAGAUGAAAAAAAUAUAUAUAUGAUUGAAAAAUAUAAUGGAUCAAGAUUUUUACUAACAAUAAUUGUACUUAAAAAUUUUUGACCAGUGAUUUGAGCCAUUCUUUGCAACCACUAUGGGCCCUGAGGCACAAGAUGAUUUUACUCGUCGUCGGUGUCAACUAGUGAACUUGCUCAAUCUGUUCAAUUGUGACCUUCGAAUUAAUGGAGUCACAUUCUCAGCUCCAAUCCUUGUUUCUGUUUUCAUAUUCCUGAUUUAUCCACUGGGUCAAUCUGGUUGGUUCUUUGCGCCCAGUUUUGGCGUAGCAGCUAUAUUUCGAUUCAUCCUCUUCUUCCAAGGAUUUCAUAAUUGGACGUUGAACCCAUUUCAUAUGAUGGGAGAACUCUUUAAUCUUUAUUCAAAGAUGGUGACUAAAAAUACAUUUGGUGCUCAAUUGAACUCAAGCCAAAGAGACUUGUUCAGUAGUUGCUACGAACCACUUUUGGUCCCAAAUCUUUGGAUUGUUUUUUUUUCAAUAAAUGUUGGUUAGUAGAAAAUUUACGUGACUAAAAGGAUCAUAUUACCAUUUUAUGUGGAGUGAGGUGUUCUUCCCAUUCUAUCCCAAAGGUGAUAGAAUUUGUAAAUACAACUAUUAUUUUCAGGCUACUAAAAUAAAAGAAGUAUAAUUACAGUAAUUGCAGCUUUACAAAACCAAACAAAUUGGUGUUGUAUUUUUAACUAUAUUAUAUUUAUAACUACAUAUUCAAUAAAACUAUGAGUAAUAAAAAGAAUUAUAAAGAUUUUUUUUUUACUAUGUCGGAAACAAAAAUCGCCAACCAAUCACAACAUGCGGUGUUGCUUUUCCUGCUAAUGAGCGGCAACAAGAAAAUGUUUGGUUGGAUGUAGUUGGAAUGAGUGUUUUUGCGAUAGCUAAAACUGUAGCUGUAAAAUGCCAAUGCGCCUUAAGUAUUCCAAUCAAACAACCAAUCAAAAUAAGACAUAAAAUUACCUUUAGGUUUCUUAAACAAAUUUGCACAGACGAAAGAUUUAGACCUAUUUGGCCUCACUUCCGCUUCAACUUUAUACACCAGCAAUCUUUUAUAAGAAUAAAAUUUAAGUCCUAAAAACUAAAACACUAAUUUAAUAUUUUUCAAUUUAUUCCCAAAACCUAUGAAAAAUAUUUUAAUAAAAUGUUGUUAAUAGAAUUAUUAUUUUAACAAUGUAUUAUUUUAUUAAAUCAUAAUUAUUCAAAAAUUUUGAUGUAAGGAUCUGUUUACUACAACGUAAAACUAUCAAAGAUGAUCCUCCAUGGAAAAGAGUUUUUUUGUGGAAAAAAAAAAUUUUACGCUCUCUGACGUUUAGCAUAUAGAAAAAAAAAUAGCUUUUCAACCAUGCUUAUUUUGCUGAAAAAAAAUUUGAAUGACAAAUAAUUUAUAUAAUUUUUAUUAUAUAUUAUGUAUUAUUUAUAAAAUAUCUAUCCUAUUAUAUAUAUUAUAAUUAAAAUUUAUAUCUAUAUAUAUAUUAUUAUUAUCAUCAUUAUCUAUAUUUAUAAUUUAAAUAUAUUCAAAAUUAUAUUAUAUAAAAUAUAUAUAUUAUAUAUAUAAUUAUAUAUAUAUAAUAUAUUAUAUAUAUAUAUAUAAUACUAUAUAUAUAAUAUACUAUAAAUAUAUAUAUUUUAGAGAGUUUUUGUUUUUAGUCGAAAAAUAAUAAAAAAUAAAAAAAUUAUUUUUUUCUCAAACAGUAAGAUUAUUUUUAUAAAAAAAAAUUCUACAUCAAACUAAACAAGCAAAAAUAUAUUUUUUAUUUUUUUAAAAAAAUUUCCUUCCUUUAAAAUCAAAACAAACUCCCAGUCAACCUAACUCAAAACAUAAGCCCAAACCCAAACUCAAACCCAAACCCAAACCCAAAACCCACCUGAUCAGAUCGGAUUGCCAGAAAUGCCCCUCCUCUCUGCUCCACUGGCAGCAGCAGCAAUUUGGGACGCCACGUGGCGGCUCGCUUAUCCAGCUGGAGGGCAAUUUCGUAAUUUCAUCCUAUCUGAUCCCCCACCCCCCGGGUUGGACACAUGUGCCUCUCCGCCUUAAUUUAUGGUUAUAUAUAGUCAAAUCCCCAAUCGCCCCACCAUUCUCUCUCUCUCUCUCUCUCUCUCUCUCUCCCCACAACCCUAAAAGCGAAGGAGACACCAAAGAACCCUAACCCUAACCCUAACCCUAGCAGAGGAAGCAUUAAACCCCAUCGGGUUCAAUCAAUGGCGAGGGAACUGCAGAGAACCCUCUGAGCGCAUUUACUUCGCGAGCGAGUUCCCUGAUCCCCUUCUCUCUCUCUCUCUCUCUCUCUCUCUCUCCUCCUACUAGUUACGUGAGGAUCUCAAAAGUGCUCGUCGUCCUCCAUUGUUGUACUUGUUCCGCGGCAUUUAAUGCAUCGGCUUAAUUAAACUUCUUAUUUAUUGCUGUUUUUGUUUUUGUUCUUUGGUUUGAUUUUUGGGCGUGUUUCGAAGCAGGUGAGAUCACGGCAUUUAAGGCUUCGAGAUCCACCUCGGUUUAUAAAGAUCCCUCAAACUUAGGACUUCUAUUUUUUUUUUCUUUUUUCCUCCUUUUCUCCUCUUCUUUUUCUCAUCCCUUGGGAUUAGGGUUUCAAGAGGGGUGGUGGGGGGUAUGGGGAGAGCUCCGUGUUGCGAUAAGCAGGGGAUGAAGAAGGGGCCGUGGACUCCCGAAGAAGAUAAAAUCCUCGUCGAUUAUAUCCAAUCCAACGGCCACGGAAGCUGGCGCUCUCUCCCUAAGCUCGCAGGUUACUUUUUUUUUUCUUUUCUCUUUUUUUAAUAGAGAGUAGAGAGCGAAGGACCGAAAAAAAAAACAUUACUAAUUUGAUUAUAAGGUUUUUUCUUUUUCUUUUUUUUUUGUGUGUAUGUAUGUGUUAGCGUGUGGGUUAGGACAUAGAAUUGAAAAGAAGUUACUGUGUUCUUCGAUAGGAUUCUGUGUACCCGUUCGUAAUGGCCUAAACAAAAUACUGACGCACACGUAGCAGUGCUUUGCCGUGUUUCUGAAUACAGUGUAUUGGGUCCCCAAACGUUAGCUUAGAGCGGGAAAAAGGGUUUUUUUUUUUUGUGGUUACUAAUUAGUUGUAUCGGAAUCUUAAUUAAGACUACAAUUUUGUUCUCUUCUCCUUUUCGUAUAGCCGUUUGAACUUUUAAUUUAAUAUUUAAAUAUUUUAAAUUUUAUUAAACAGUUUAUUGGACUCUUUUCUUAGUCUAACCUAUACAGUAAUUUUGAUUGCAUGUCCCGUGCAUAAUUUUGUAGGACUUCGAAAUAUAAAAAAUUUAUAUUUUUUUUUAAAAAAAAUUGGUAUUAAGUGAGAGAAGUGAUGUCGGUGAACGGAUUUUUAAUUUUUAUCUAUUUUUAAUAUGUAAGAAAAAAAAAUAUUUUAUAUUUUAAGAUUUUUUUUAAAGAUUAUAUGCCUUUCGAAACCGGCUAGAUAAUUAGUAAUUUUAAUUAAAAAGAAAUUUAUUGAUUUAUUAAUAAAAUUUAGAAUUUUAUUAAGAAAAUUGAAAAGCUAUUUGUCAACUUGUGAAAGAGUCAAAGGGUGUUUACUUCUUUUUUUUUUCGUAAUUAACGCAACAUUCUCUUGCUUUUAUUACCUGCUAUUAUUACUGUUUCCUCCAAUCAUCAUCCUUUUUUCACUUUUAAAACUGAAAUAAAUAAAUUAAAUAAUUAAAGUGGUGUGGUCAGCAGAGUGCGUGUGGGGCUGGGCUCAUUAAAAAUAAAAAAAAAAAGAUAAAUAAUAAUAAUAAAUAAUAGUAAAAAGAAAAUGCAGGUUUGCUACGCUGCGGCAAGAGUUGUCGUCUCCGGUGGACCAACUACCUGAGACCCGACAUCAAGCGCGGCCCCUUCACCACCGAAGAGCAAAAAUCCAUCGUCCAACUCCACGGCAUCGUCGGUAACAAGUACUACCAUACACCACUUUUUCCUUCUUUUUUUUCUCUUUUUUUUUUUCCUGUAAUUUAUCCCCUCAAAUUUUUAUAUCCUACGUGUUAGAUUGGUUCACGGGUUUAUAAUAUUACGAUAAUUCUCAAUAUUCUUUUUUAAAUUAUCAUUUCUGUAGUAAAAUUAUCGUAAUAUUAUAAAAUUUUCGAACGAAACAGUCCCUAGUUAUGAAGGUGGACCCUACUGUGAUAAAUAUCUUAGUACUGGAUCGCGUGGACCGCGGCUCGGCCAAUUUAAUGGUAAUGUUAUCUGCUGCCCACUCAAUGAAUGAACUUAUGAACUUCCCUGGGGCCUGGUCCUUUUUUUUUUUUUUCUUUUUGAUUUUUCUAUGUUUUGUAGCAAAAUAAAAUAGGCUAUAAAGUUCUCAUAAUAAUUGCGACUGCAGGUGGUCCACGAUCGCGGCCCAGUUGCCCGGUCGCACAGACAACGAGAUCAAGAACUACUGGAACACCCACCUCAAGAAGCGCCUCCUCCGCAUGGGCAUCGAUCCCGACACCUUCGCCCCUUCCUCCUCCCCCUCUACUUCGUCCACGGCGGCCUCCGCCUCUGGCUCCCCAGCCUCCUCCAGCUCUGCCUCCUCCCCCUCCUCCUCCUCCCCCUCCGCUGCCGCCGCCGCCGCGCCUGCCUCCUCUUUCCCGACUACCCGCCACAUGGCCCAGUGGGAGAGCGCCCGCCUCGAGGCCGAGGCCCGCCUCUCCCGCGAGUCGCUGCUCUUCUCCUCCUCCGCCGCCGCCGCCGCCGCAUCCGCCGCAUCCGUCGGCGCCCGCAACGAGUCCGAUUCUCCGCCGCAUUCUAAUGCCGAGCCCGAUUUCUUCCUCCGGAUGUGGAAUUCCGAAAUUGGCGACGCCUUCCGGAAGCCCGUCUCCGGAGACAGCAGCAUUGCAGAUGCUGCGGUGAAGGUGGAGACGCCAGCAAGGGAGGAGACGGAGAGCAAGAGCUGCGUGUCCGUAGCUGCUGCUGCGGCGGCGGCGGCGGUGGGGGGGCGGGGGGACGACUCGUCGGGGUCGAAUGAGGUGGAGGAGACGUCGGAGGAGGAGACGUACGACCUGUACCUGGACUUCGGCGGUGACGACCUGGGCGUGUUCAGUGGCCACCUCGGGAGCUUCUCGCUCUUCGGCAGCGACCUCGCGGAGGCGUCGCUGGACACGGCAUUCAAAUGACCGACUUACUCUAAUUACCUCUUUUCUGCUGUUUGCAUUGGCGCAUUCACGAAAGAAAAUUUGAAUUUGAAUUUGAAUUUCGAGGCGAGGGUAUGGAUGGUCAAAGGAGGUUCGAUGUCAUCACGUUUAAGCUGGGAUUUUUGGUUUUGGGCCAGCUACGAGAGUAGGUUUUGUUUAUUUUAUUUUAUCUUUUUUGGGGAGGUUUUAUUUUUGGAGAUGUGUAGUAUAUCAUCACAAUGUAUGGGGAUGCAGCUGCGAGGGAUUUUGUAGUGAAAUGAAUGGAUGAUCCUGUAGCAUCUUAUUAGAGCUGUUUGUACAAUGGAAAUGGACCACAAUAUUAUCUACUAAUUAAGCUGCUACUGAUGCCUCUGAAAGUCAACUCAGGUUUUUGAUUAGCUUGAGCACAAAGCAACUUUUUGUGGCUCUUGGGCUUCUCUGUAUUUUACUUCUUCCUCUUACGCUCCUGUUAGCAGUGCUAAAAACUUCGCAAGCUUCCCAAAAUGGGCUCUAAAUAUUUUGGCCACAUGAUUUUUAGAUGCAUUCUCAUUCUCUUCUGUAAUAUUAUAUUUGUACUAGGAUACAUAUCAUACAUAUUCAAAUGAAUUUGGAUUGGAAUCAUUCUUAAGUAACCUGGAUGAAAAACUUAUCCUAAAGCUUUCCAAUUUAUACAUUUGUUGAAUUAUAAAAUAUAGGAUAAUUUUGCAUAAUUUAUUAAAAUAUUAUAUUUUAACAUGAUGGUUGAAAAGGUGUACAACCUUUUGAAGCUUGGAAAUGCAAGUUGGAUUUGAAUCGGAGUCGCGUGACCUUUUUGCAUGCAUAUGCAUAUAAAUUUUGCAUGUAGAAUAUUUUUAAUUUCUAAUAAGCGAUAAGAUCUACGGAUAAAUAAAAAUUAACACUAUUCAUGCAAAGUUGCAAAAGGCCGCACUCUUAAUAAUAUAGGACACUGGCUAGUAAAUAAUAUAGUAAUAAUAUAGUAGGGCAUCAUUUCUUUUAAUUUUGAGAGAUAUUGUUUGUAUACUAUUAUUAUAUACAUAUAUUCUCCAUUAUUUCAUUAAUGUGUUGACGCAUUUAGAUGAAACAUUUCAACUUAUAUAAUCAGCUGUAUCAUGGGACAUAGGUGGCCGUGUUUAAUUGCUUAUUUAUUUAUUUUUUUUAAGAAAAAAUGAAAACGUAUAUGUAUGGAGCAGGGAAAGUGUAGAGGUCAAAAUGAAGGUCCAACGCAGGUAUUUAAUGUGGUGUGGUAAAUGCGGGGCAGAUGUCAUGAUGAGGGCAUCAUCAAACAUCCCAGCAUUUAAUGCUUCCUGAAUGUGCACUCCAUCGUUUUGUUUGUUUUUUACUUUUUAUCUUCUUAUCUUAUUUUAUUUUAUUUUAUUUUAUUUUAUUUAUUUAUGGACGUUCAAACAAAGAAAUAAAAAAGCGAGACGCGACGAGACGGGUGGUGGUGGUGGUGGUGGUGGUGGUGUACGUGAUGUGAAAACAGAGCCACAGCAGCAACAGGGAGUCCAAUACAUUACUACGUACACCGUGGAAUCCGAAUCUCAAAGCUCAAUCAAUGGAGGUAAAUUUGGAAUGGCAAUGCACGUUGACGCGCCAUAAAUGAACACUGUCGAGAGCAAUGCUACGUAUACAGAGCGUACAUCUUACAUCCAUUUAUUCUAAACGUAUCAUGUAUAAGUAAAUUUAAGUUCGACCCAGUUUAAUCAAUAACUUAAGAUUCAAAUCCAAACUCAAUUCAUUUAAUAAACGAGUUGAGCGGGUUGAUGCACAUAAUGUGUUUAAUUAUCUAAAUUACUUAUAAAUCAUAUAAGUUUAUAACAAAAGGCUAAUAUCGGUUAAAAUCUUAAAUUAUAUAUAACUAAAAAUACAGCUACUGUAAUUUCGAAAGCACGAAGCAUUCGUACUAUCAAUUAUUUUCAAUGAUAAGCAUUCGAUUCGACAAUCAAUUUCGUCAGACAUAAUUUACACUAUCGAAACGACUAUAUAAAAAUCAAAUUUUAUAAAUUUUCGAUAUCAUUUGCCAAGUGAUUAAAUAGUUUUUUUAAAAACAUUAUUUUAAUAACUGAUGUGGCGUGUUUAUAAGCUUAACGGUAUAAAACAAUUCAAAUAAUUAUGUAAAAUUUUAAUAGAAAAUUUCAUUUAUCAUGGAGAGAAAGAUCAUUUCUUCGAACUUAAAAUUUAAGACUUUACCAUUAUUUUUUACGAGAUUUUUAUUUUCAAUUGUUCAUUUUUAGACUAUUCAGUCAUUAGGCAAAUAAAAUUGUAAAAUAUAAAAUUUAGUUUUUAGAUAAUUCUAAUACAAUAGAUCAUUUUUAAAGGAGUCGAUCUCCACAUCAGAUGUCCUGUUAUCGAAAACAACUUGAAAAUAUGAAAACAUCCGUACAUUUGAAACCAAAAUAGUCUAUCUCCAUAACUGAAAUUAUCUUUAUGUAGAGUGGGGCUAUUAUAUUUUUAGAAGCAUACUUGCUCCAUUAAUCACUUUUUUUCGAUGAUGGAAUAUCAGAAUUAGUGAUUUUCUCAGUUAGACUUGAUCUACACUAUUUAAAAUAUCUAUAUGUUAUGUUUUGUUAUUUGUCAUUAUCAUUUCUCUUGUGAUUGAAUGGCCCUAAAUGAAAUGGUUAGAAAUAACAAUUUCAUAAAAAAUAGCAAUAAAAUAUUUUGAAUUAAAUUGGAGAUAUUUAUUUUAGAUUAGAUAGUUAAAAGAAAGAGAAAAUCUAUCAAAAUUUUAUUUAAUUUCCAUAUUAUUAUGUUGUUUUACUUGUAACUGCUUAUAUUAAUCAUUACAAUUUAAUUCUUCAGUCCUUUCAAUCAUUAUUAUAUAAAUAAUAUUAAAAAAUUAUAAAAUUUAAAAUUUAAAUAUUUCAAAUAGCACUGAUUAAGUUAAAAAAAAAAAGAUCGCCGAUUCGAAUAUCUCAUUACCGAGAAGAAAGUGAAACCACGCAAUCCUCUGAAAUUAAGUAUAGCUGCAUUACUCUUUUAUGCAUUAAUAUAUUAUAAGUUUAUAAUAUGUAUCCAUAAUAUCAUUAUUUUUGUCCAAGCAGGAAUAGAAAUAUCCGCACUGUUAGGAAAAUUUCUUUUUACAGUUUUACAUACUUCAGUUUUUAUUUUAUAAAAAAAUAUCUACUAUUAAGUCAAUUUGAAUACACAAAUUAAACAAGCUAAUCCGUCUUUUAACAUUAAAAUCUAAAAAUAAUAAAUAAACUCUAGAAAAGAAAUUAUAAUAUUUAGAUAAAAGUAAAAUUGAUAUGUCACAGCGAAUUGAAGGCUCUUCAUCCAGGGACGGAGCUAUUGAGGGGCCCACAGUGGCCAUGGCCCUUCCUAAAAUUUUUAAAAUUAUAUAAAAUUUCUUUAUAAUAAAAAUUAAAAUAUUAUAAAUUUUAAUUUUAGAGGGCCAAAUUAAAUUUUUUAACAAAAUUUGUGUCUCGAUUUUUUUUUCGAAUUUUUUGGUCCUUUUCUUUCAACUCUUACAGUCUUGUUUAUUUCUGAGUAUAUUGUCGUUAUCAGUGAAUCUGAUAAAUUUUUUUUCUUACUCUCCGAGUUCGAAUUUUUUCCCAUCAAAUCUAAAUUUUUUCCUCCCCCAUCUUAAUUUCUAAUUUCGUCCUGACGUCGUCGACGUACCGGAACUUACAACACGACACAGAUGGUCCACGUAUUUUUUAGGUAUUUUGACGCACUGACAUUGCGUUUCUAAACUGCAUGUUUAAACCAAUCAGAAUUUUCUGUAUAUGCGAGUACAUUAGCAAUUCAUAAGGGCAUUAAUUAUUCUGUGGGUCCCAUAGCAAUGCUCCCAUAGAAAAUUAAGAGCCUUUAUGUUGACAAAGUACCUGUUGAUUAAGAUGCGAUUUGAAAUGGACGAAAUUUCGUAGAAAUUAAAAGCAUAAGUAAAAGCUAGAGCCUGUUGACUAAAAAGGUUUGGUACUUGUUUUGAACUCUUUCCUUAUAUUCGACGUGUUCAUGUGGUGGUAAACACGUACGUGUGUGUAUAUAUAUAUAUAUAUAUAUAUAUAGAGUACGGCUACUAUACUAUUAUGAGUACGAUCGCCCUCGUACUCAUAAGUUGUUUUCGAUGGUAGAGCUUCCGAAUCGACAAUCCACACCGUUAAACAUUAUUUACAGCAUUUAAAAUUUCUAGAAAUUAAAUUUUAUAAUUUUUCGACAUCAUUUACCUUACGAUCAAAAGAUCACAAANUAUAUAUAUAUAUAUAUAUAUAUAUAUAUAUAUAUAUAUAUAUAUAUAUAUGUAACUAGUUUAUAUCACAUAGCUUAUAGGGACAAUUAUUUAUAUAUUUCUAAAAAAAUUUUGACUUUUUAAUUUAUCUUUCUUAGAAGAUUAAUAUUGAAAAUACUUUUUCUACGUUCUAACGUAUUUCUAAUAUAUUUCUAGAGUUAAAAUCUGUUAAUUAAGUCUGUUAUCUCUAUAAAAUUAUUAUUUUGCCCAUUCAAAUAUAUCUUUCUACCAUCACUGUUUUUCUUAUUUGCCUUUAAAGUCAAGGGCAAAAAAAAUAUUUUGAUUUUUGGACUUUUCCAAUAUAUCUCUCUACCGUCACCAACAUUUCUUAUUUGCCCUUAGGUUAAGAGUAAAAUUGACAUUUUAAUUUUUUUUAAUUGUGAUAGAUAUUUAACUCACCUUUAAACUAAGUUAACUUAACAGGAGAUAACUGCGGGGGUAUUUUGCAAUAACAGUAGAAUAUAUGAGGGGUAUUUUAGAAAGAAAAAAAAAGGAGUAAAUCGGAUAUUUUUAAACGUAUGAGUGGUAUAUAUAUAGGCAAUUAUCUCCGGUUUAUAUAUGAUAUUAAAUCAUUUUUCUUUUUUGUAGAGUAUGAUGAUUUAACUUACAAAUGAAAUAUAUUCUACAACUUCAUGCACACA